CAGAAAGAGUACCUCCAAUCAGUUCCUUCCACACAAAAAAGCUCUUUUGAGUUCCAGAGAAACUCACUAUUCUUCCAAUUCCUAGUGCCCAAUUGACACCAUUUGGUACAUCUUCCCAGAUAUUGUACAAAGCCCUCCAGAGAAACGAGCAACUAGAAGGAUGUAUAGAAGAUGACCAUUUACUUAUUACCCCAUACUUGUUUCGAAGGACUUUUAACCCGUAGCACAUCCAUGUUAGAAAUGAUGACAUUAAUAGUUACUUUAUGCAGGAAGGCUUUACUAAUUAUGGUCUCGUACUUCCCUCAACCCAAGUCCACCACUAGUGACUAAUAUUUGGUGAUACUGAAAGUAAACAAACCUGAAUAAACUGAUGCAUAUAUAUCUAUAUAUUUGCAGCAAAAUCAAAUGUUUCUCCAACAGUUAGCUCUGGUAUGUGUGUGCGUUUAAACAUGCAUAUGUUCAACAAUUAUAGUCGAGUAGAAUAAAGCUAACUCAACUUGAACAAGAACUUUAGAGAGCAAGAUCUGAGGUUAAUUUUUUAUUUUUUUUAUAUUAUAUUGAUUACUAUUUAUAUAUAUUAAGUAUUUUGAUUUAAAUCUGUUUGGACCAGAUGAUAGUAGUUAAAUCUGUUUUUCAAUGAAAUAAGCAAGCUGAGAAGUUUGAAGCAAUCUUUGGAUGAAAUGUGACAGAUCAUAAACUUCAUUGUUUGCAGGUGUAAUUUAAUUUGCGAUCCAAUUUAAGCGACUCUACCAUCCAAUUUACAAUUUCUACGAAGUAUGUAUAUUUAAUUUGCUAAAUCUUUAUUUGAUGUCUCUCCAUUGUAUGUAUAGUUAAAAUUCUAAGAGGUAUGUAUAUUUAAUUUGCAAAAUCUUUAUUUGCUAAACUUCAUUGUUUGGACCAAAUGAUAGUAGUUAAAUCUGUUUGGAGUUUUAUUUUGCUAGUUGCUACUAAUUUCCUAGUCAAGUUGCAUGCAAAAAUGCAUAUUUUACCUUACAAACGACUAUGUUAUAAUAUUUGUAACUAAAAUUAAUAUUAUAUUUGUAUCUAAAAUUAAUAUUAUAUUAUAAAACGUUGUUUAGGGAAUGUUCUUUUUUUUAACAAAACUAUUUAUCCAAAGCUAGUUCCUCCUAUUUUUUUCCUUAACAAAGAUAUUUUAAAAAUGAAAAUCAAAUAACGUAAAUUUGAUUAUGCAUUUAUCCUAUUAUUAGAUUACAAUACAUCUAUGUUGUGAUGCUGAUGAAAAAAACCUUUUACAACAAAUGUACUUAUAAAUACUUCAUACAAAAACAAAUAAGAUUAUAGUCAAAAUAAUAAUGUUCAAAUAUUAAAAAUUAAGAGUUUUGGGUUAAAAUUUUAAUAUGAGUUAUUUUUUCUAGAUUUCAUAUAAAAAUAUAAAAAGAAAAAAAAUAACAAUAUAUUUAUUAUUUUGGAAAAUAAUUAAAUAAUUUAAUACCUUUUUAACUAAAUUAAAUUUCAAUUGAUGGGUCACACUUUUAUAAUUACAUUAAAUUGUUUUACUAUUUCAACUUUAUCAUUUUAAUCAAACUCGUUUAUUUUACAUAAUUAUUUAUUGUUAGGUUAAUUUAGGUAAUUGAUGGGCUUAAAACUGACAAAACAUGAUACCAUUCCUUUCUAAGUAUUGUGUUUGUUUGAAUUUGAUAUGCUUCCCACUUAAAUAUAAUACGAAAAAUAAUUAAAAUAUUAUAUCAUUAAAAAUUAUCACAAAUAAUUUGGAUUAAUUUAUUUAAAUAUGAUUUAAUUAAAAUAAUUUUUUUAAAGGGAAAUAAUAUUUAUAGUGCCUUCAUCAUCAAUAGAUUCAGAUUUCAUACAAAAUAUCGCGAGAGAUUGAGGAGAACUCAAAAUUGUGGAAUAGUUGUUAAUUCUUCAAUUACAAGUUAUGCUAGUGCUAGGGACAGUAAUCCCGCUGAGGGAAAUGUGGAGUAUUACGGGCUUAUUACUGAUAUUAUUGAGUUAGAUUACUAUAGAAAAUGGAAAGUUGUCUUAUUUCGAUGUGAUUGGGCUGAUGUUAAUAAUGCUUGCGGAAUUAAAAACGAUCAAUUUGAUUUUACAAUGGUGAAUUUCUCUCGAUUGAUUCACACUGGAGAACAAUUGAUAGACGAGCCAUAUGUAUUUUCUUCUCAAGUGAAACAAGUUUUUUACUCGAAAGAUCCAACUAAUGAGGGUUGGUAUGUUGUAUUUCGAAACACCCCUAGAGACUUGUUUGACAUGGGCAAUGGAAGUAGAGAUGACAUCGUCGAAAGAUCAGAAACUUUGCUUUUUGCAGAACAAAACUUAAAUCAAAAUAUCCCUAGUACUAGUACACAAUUUCAAUGGGUUCGUCAGGAUGUGGAUGAAGAUAUUUACGAAUUAUGAUGUAGUAAGAUUUUACGAUUUUUUAAUUAUAUGUAAUAUUAUAAUUUUAAUCUUGCUCAUGUUAUAUAAUUUAACUAUUUUAUAUGUACUAUUAUUGUUGUAAUUUGUUACUAAAAUUUCAACUAUUUUAUGUGUAUUGCUGGAAAAAUGCGUAGAAGAAGAUUACGAGAUUUAAGUAUUAUCCAGAAUACUCCAAAUUUGGAAGAAGCAAAUAGUGAACAACAGACAGUUAUUGGAUCUUCAAAUGUGCCGGAGACACUUGACGAGCCUGCAGAAUUUCAAAGUAAUGUUAAGUUUAUUUUACAUGUGUGUUGAUUUUUAUUAUUGAUUUAUUUUUCAUUUUUAAUAUAAAUAAUAACAUAUCGUUUUUCAGCUGAAAGUGGUGGGAUGCGCAGAGGUUGAUGACGUACGCUACUUAAAGAUUUAUACGACUUAAAUCCUGUCGAGUGUGUCAAAGUAAGCAGAAACAGUUAUGGCAAGCCUGUUGGAUCUGAAGCUCGACUUUUAGUAGGCUAUUUGGGCAUUAUAGCACGAAAUGCCAAUAUGUUGCCCAUCCACUACGAAUCAUGACAUCACAUGCCUGAUAGCAACAAAAAUCAAGCUCUUGAUAAUAUUAAGGUAACAAAACAUCUAAUUGUUAUUUAUAAUACUUUGGUUUAAGUUUCAUUUAUAUUUACAUUCUAAACUUGUGUUUUUUUAGGAGAGAUUUGCUUUAGAGGUCUCGGAUGACUAUAUAAAGAAGACAUUGGGUAAAAAAUAGAGAGACCAUAAAAGCACUUUGAAAAAACAAUAUUUUAAGAAAGACAUAAGCCUCGAAGAAAAAUUGCGAAAUGUCCCGCCGAGAAUGAUGAGGUACCAAUGGGAAGAUGCGGUUAGAUUCUGAAAUUCAAAGAAAUGAGAGGUAUUACAUACUUCGAAAUUCUUAUAAAUUUUUCGGUAUAUAGUGUUUACUAUAUAUGUAAUAAUAAUUACACUAUGUAGGACCGUGAGCGAGUUGGAACAAGCAGCAGGCAAAAACAAAAAUUCAAAAAUACGGCAAGGUCAAGAAGUUUCGCUUCUGUAACUAAGGUCGAGGUAUUAUGAAUUUAUUAAUUCUAUCAAAUAUUAAUGACUUUCUACUAUUAAAUAAUAUUUUUACUACUAUAUUGUAGGAAGUACCGUCUGGUCAAAAAGUUGGACGCCUUCAGCUAUUUGACAUUACGCAUAGGAAGAAAGAUAGAUCUCCUAUGACAUCCGAAGCUGGACAAAUUAUAGUAUAUUUACUUAAUAAAAUUUGAUUUAUUAUAAAUAUUUAUAAUGGUUUAAUUCAUCGUUAGUAGUUUUAAAUAAUGUUAAGUUAUGUUGCAUUCCUUUUUAUUAUAUAUUUCGUUUCUAACUCAUUAAUUGAUUUAUUAGGAGAAACUAAAGGAGGAGAAAGCGGAGUAUGAAGCGAUUGCUUCGACUGAUAGUUCUGUUUAUCUUGAGAACAUUGAUAACAAAAUUAUUACUGAAGUUUUAGGUCCUGAAAGGUAUGGUCGGGUUCGAUUUCAAGGACCUGGUGUUACUUCGACCCAAUAUUCUGGAUCUGACUCCCAGCAAUACAUGCCUUUCGGGAGUCAAUCUCAAGCUGAAGUUCAGAGGUUAAGAGACCAGAUAGCUCAGAUACAAGCGAUCACAGUUGAGAAAAUUACCGAGGUUGAAAGAAAAUAUGAAGAACUCCAGCAACAACUUAGAGCGGAUGCAGCAGCGAAGGAGGCAGCGGCAGCAGCGAAGGAGGCAGCAGCAGAGCAGAAAGUACGAUGAGCUGCAGCUACAGCUUCAGCAUAUGAUGAAGAUGUUUCAGCAGUCGCAAAAGCCGCCAUUUUAGACAUUUGUUUUCUCCUUGUAAGAAUAUUUUUAACAUUGUCAUGUUUAACAUUAUUGUAAGAAUAUUUUGAGUUACACUUCAUUUAUUAAUUUACAUCAUAUAUCUUUCGUUGAAUUUGAAGUAUCAUUCUAAUCUAACGUUUUUUGUUGCAUUUUUUAUGCAACAUUUGCUGUUUUUGGUUGGAUUUCAUGUUAUAUUUAUUGUUUUUUGUUGGAUUUAAUGCAAGAAAGGCUGGAUAUUGGUGAAAAAUGUACAUUGUAAAUCUGCCAAAAUUAGCGGCGUUUGUAACAAAAGCGUCGCUAAAAGUCAUAAUCUUUUGUGGCUUUUUUUCAAAUAAACGCCGCAAAUCUAUAGCGGCGUUAUUUGCGGCACUUGUGAAAACGCCGCUAAAGGCAAAAAAAAACGUCGCUAAAAGUCUAUUUUCCUGAAAGGCAUUCAACAUUUAUCACAACUCACUAAAAUUGGUUUUUGGUUACCAGAUGUUGACCCCCAAAUGAAUCCUUGAACCAGUUUUUCAAUUUUAUUGCAAUUGUCUUGGUGAUCACCUUAAACAAAACUAUGUGGUGAUUGAUCGAUUUAUAAUGAGAGAGCGAUUCUGGUCCUGCCACCUUGGGCACCAACAAAAUAAGAGUUUGAUCCAAAUCCAAAGGAAUUGGGUCGCCUUCAAAACACCUUUGAAUCAAACAACAAAUUUGAUCCUCAAACAAAACUCCAUUGAGAUUGACAAAAGUGAGCAUGGAAAACAUCAACAUCAGAGUCUUCAAUGGCGCCAUAUUAAGCAAAGCUUUCCUUACCUCUUACUUCAAAACUCUAUCAUCUAAAGCCACAAGUUCCUCAACUCCCAAAACAAGAAAGCAAUUGUGUAAUGAAAACUCUCCUGGGUACGCCGCAUUGAUAACGUAUAAUGUGCUCCUAUUGAUAUCGGAAUAAACAACAACAAUCUAUUGUCACAUAUUGCAGUCUAGUAAUAAAAUUUUGUAUAUAUAGAGAGAAUUUUAACUUAUUAAACAUCUGAUAUGCGAGAAUGUAAUAUUUUAGUUUUUCAAGAUAAUAUAUGAAUCGUUUAACUACUUUCCCAUGAUUUAUACUCAAAAUUUUCAAAUAUCUACCCAAUAUCUUAACAAUAAAUGUAAUAUUUUUACACAUAUAAACCUGAGCAUGCAUUAGAUUCCCCAGUGAUGAAGCAUAGUGCUUAACCUUAAAAUUAAUCUUGAGACAUUGAUCAAGACUAAACUUGUCUCUUUUAAUGAUAUAAGUAUCACCUAAUUUACAAUCCUUGUCAAAUCUCUUUAAUAUAUUUAAAUAAUUCAUUUUCGAUAUAUUUUUAUAUAUAUAAUUAAUUUAAAAUUUUUGAGCAUAUAUAUGUUGAACACAAGCUCGUAUUCUAUGCUUUUGCCAAAGUUAGAUAACAUUGUUUUAUAUAUAUAUAAUUCAAAAUAUUAUUAUUUUUAUAUAAUUAAAUUUUAUGAUCUCAGAUUGAAGAAAUGUAAUAGGCUGGAGAAAAAAUGUGAAGGAAGUUUUGAUUGUUCCAUGAAAAAGCAACUAUUAAAUAAGGUGUGAAUCCUUUGACAAUGUUUAGAGGUUAUAAUCAUCCUUUUAUUUUGUUAUUAGACUAUUUUUGUCAAGUAAAAUUGUCCUUUAAUUUAUUUUUGUUCAAAAUUGUUAGAGACCAAGUUAUGUAUUAAGUGUGAUAUGUGGCUAGUUUCAUCUUUUAAAUUUGCUUUUAUAUAUUUCAAAGAUUAAUCAUAUAUCUAUAUAGCAAAUAUUAAAUAAGAAUAAUAUAGGCAAAAUAUUAAUUUAGUCCUUAACAUUUACAUUUUUUAUCACUUUGCCUUUUAUUCUUUGUUUGAGCUAAAUUUGAUUCUCAAUUUAAAAAAAAAAACUCAAAUUUGACCAUCAACUUUAAAAAAAAAUAAAAAAGUUGACAUGAUAUUUUUUUUAACAAGAAUACUCAUGAUAAAAGUCAAAAGUAACAUAUUUUAAUCUCGUUCUUAAUGCGUUUUUGGAUAAUUAAUGAUGCAAAAUGGUGAAUUUUAUAUUCCUAAUCAUUUAAAUUCAUGUUUUUAUACUUAGGACAGCAUUUGAGAGCAAAACCAGCGAAAAUUGAGCGAAAAUCAAACAAUUGAAGCAGAUUUCAAGAGCCACAUGGACAUAUGCCAAACCGUGUCGAUUUUAUGAACUGCACCUCGAAAAUGCUACAAAACACAAUUUUUAGAUUUUUUUUAGCAUUCUAAAACCUAUAAAUACCAAAUAUAAGAAGAUGGGAGAAAACUGUCAUAGAAGAUUAAAGAAAGCAACUCGGAUUGAAGCCGACUCUGAAGCAAAUUUCCAUCAAGAUUGAAAAUCUCCUUUUGAUAUAUUUGAAGUUUAUUUUGAGUUUAUUUAUUCUUGUGGUUAUACUGUCUUUGAAUUGUUUUUAUUUGCGAUUAUGAACUAAUUUUCUAAAUAUCUAGGGGAGAUGAAUCAUAUGAUGAAUUCUAUCUUUUUAUAUUUGUUUUAUGUAAUAAAUACUUAGAUCUUUUUCUUAAUUAUGUGUACUUAAUUCUUUGUUUAAUAUUUUUAGAUUAUUUAUCCAUGUGUGAUGUGCUUAAAUCAAAGGAGGAAUAUACUCUGUUUAAGAGUAAAUCUAGCAUAAUUGAGUGGAGCAUGCAAUCCUAGAAAUAAGACGACAUAAAUCUAUCGGAUUAGAGUCAAACCUAAUAGGGAGAUUCAUAGAUCGAGUUAAUACGAUAAUAGAAAUUUUAGUUAGAAAGAAAUUUCCAUUAAUCAAUCUAGAGUCAAUUUCUAUUAUUCUCGAAAGAGAUAUUAGCAUAAUUUAGGGAUUUCUGUAGAUCAAGGUACUAAGUGAAGAAAUUGUUUAAUUCAAAUUGAUAAUGAUAGAUGAAAUCUAGGUGGACUCUUUCCUAGACAUUGUUUCGCUUCUUGGUGGUUAAUCGUUUGUUUUCCUAAUUCAUUCUUUGUCGUGUUUAGUUAUUUUCAGUUUCAACCAAUCACUCUCAUUUGUCAAUUAAAUAAUAAAAAGACAAUAAUUACUAGUACUUUUAGUCCUCAUGGAAACGAUAUCUUUGCUCACCGUAACUAUACUAUUAAUUGAUACAUGCACUUACCGUUAUGUAUUUUUAAUUGGUUUCGUGGACAUCAACUAACUAAAAUAUUAAAAUUUUCAACACGAUAACAUGCAUGUAAUUCACAUAUACUCCAUGCAGAAAAAAUUUAAUUCUUAUGAAAUUUUUAUCUUUUUUUAAUUUUGAUUUCUUAUUUUUAUAAUUUCUAACUUAUUUAUUAGUGUGACAUAUAAGACAAAUCAUGUUAUGUUAGCAUGAUAUGCUCAUGAAUUUACAUGUAAAUUGUUUUAAAAAAUAAUAUUUUAAUCAUCAUUCCGUUAAAAAAAAUUCCUCUUUUUUUUUAAGUUAGAAGGUUAAAUUUAGCUCUCAGGAAAAUAAUAAAAAUCAAAUUAACAGAAAAUAUAAAUGUAAAAAUCUACAUUUAUCAUUAUGCUAAGACGUUGUAGAUAGAAUAAGAAUAAUAUAUAACAAAUAUUCAAUACCAUCCCAUUGCUCAAAAACUUAAAAGCUUCCCAGAGAUUAAUGGCAAAAUGGAAUACCUGCUAGAGCUUUAUUUAGAUGGGACAGGCAUUGAACAGCUUCCCUCUUCAAUUGAAAAUCUGAGUAGUCUUGUUUUGUUAAAUUUGAAAGAUUAUAGGAACCUUGUGAGUCUCCUAGGGAGUGUAGGUGUGUGUAAAAGUUAAAAACCUCUUAAUCUUUCUGAUUGUUAUCAAGUUGGAUAUUUGCAGCAACUAGAGUUUUUGGAAGAGCUUGACUUAAGUGACACAGCCAUACGAAAACUACCAUCCUUCAUUUCUCUGUUAAAAAAUCUUGAAGUUUUGUCAUUCAAUGGGCGCAAGGGAUCUUCAUCUAAGUUACUACAAAAUUUGCCUUCCCUUUCCAAGGUUAUUCAAAAGAGGAAAGAUAAAUUCCAGGGCUCUGAUGUUGCCUUCGUUGUUUGGUUUGAGUUCAUUAACGAUGCUGAAACUAAGGAACUGCAAUCUUUGUGAAGGAGAUAUUCCUAGUGAUAUUUCUCGCCGAUCCUCUUUGAUACACCUUGAUCUUGGUGGUAACAAUUUCGUCAGCAUACCUUCGUGUCUUGCUCAAUUUUCCAAGCUUGAAUUUCUUAGAUUGUCAUAUUGCAGGGCUCUUAAAUCGUUGCCUGAGCUUCCAACAAGUAUAAAAGAUGUAAGGAUAAAUGGUUGUGCUUCUCUGGAAACUAAUUGUGGUAAACUACUUCAUUAGCUUUGGCUAUUAAUUCUUUUUUAAGACUUUUUUUUUUAUCGAUGUUAUUAUUUACAGUUUUUUAUUUUAUUUAAAGUAUUCAUUUUCGAUAAAUUUACUCUACAACAAAUGAGAUAUAAUCUUUCAAAUAUAUGUAAUUAACUUAAAAAUUUUGGGCAUAUAUAUACAUGUUAAACACAAACUCAUGUUCUAUGCAUAUCCUAAAUUUGGAGAACUUUGUUUUUUUAUAACAUUCAGAAUAUUAUUCAUUUAAUUUAGUCAUUUUUAUAUAAUUUGAUGUUAUGAUUGUGAAUUGAAGAAAUAUAACCAGUUGGGGAUAAAAUAUAGAGGAAGUUUGAUUAUUUCAUGAAUAAGCAGCUAACAAGUAAGGUGCAAAUCCUUUGAUGAUGUUUAGGUUAUAAUCAUCCUUUCGACACUGAUUUAAUCGUCCUAGAAAUGGAGGUUGGAUUUUCGGCAGUGAGGGUUUCACUCGGACCUGUUCGUCAUUUUCAGGAUUUUCCUGGGCGUUUUCUUGGCCAAGAUUUCUAUCAGGAAUUGGUUCCAGUACAUUUCCACUUCACAACGUCACUGUAUUUGCGUGUUGUCUUGGAUUAAGUUCUGUUUGUGACGGCAGCUUCCUUUGAGAGUUCAAUUUCUCAAUUGAUAUGGUCAAUUCUCUUAUAGAUGACUCAGUUUUCUAUUGAAAAUCAAGCAUAUUAGAUGCUAACUUAUUGACCAAAGUUUCUAGAGAAUUACCUGAAUCUUGUGGCUGCUGUGGAAGUCGAUUUGGUAUGGCUAGUUAUAUUGUGGAUUGGCCCCAUAACUCAAGUUAGGAUGGUCCCUCCAUCCUGAGUUGUAGGUAUUAGCGUAAGGGUCGUAUCACCUUUGUGGUGGCCCAGAAAAUUUCCCACAGCAUCUAAAUAAGCCAUAGUAUCAUCAUUCAAACUGGGACAAAUAUCAGUUGUAUGUUCAAGGGUAGCACAUAUUCCGCAUAAGCGGGCUGUUUUUGCUUUUUCUGCAAUAAGAGAAUGUAUCAUAUUAGUAAGUCUGUAAACUUUAUCCUCUAAGGUUGAAUUACUUAGCUGGUGAACCCUUCUAGGGGGUUCAAGAUUGGCUCGAAAUUGCUGAGAAUUUGCAGCCAUAGUGGAGAUCAAGUCUCUUGCUUGUUGUGGAGUCCUGUUGACCAACGCUCCUCCACUAGCGGCGUCUACCAUAUUCAUUUCCAUGGGUUUUAGGCAUUCAUAAAAGUACUGGAGCAAAGACUGUUCCGUUAUACCGUGUUGUGGGCAACUUGCACACAACUUUUUAAAUCGUUCCCAAUAGUCGUACAGAGAUUCUGCGUCUUUUUACCUUAUGCCCAUGAUUUCUCUUCUUAAUUCGGCUGCACGCGAUGCUGAAAAAAACUGUUGAGAAGUAAAUGAGACAGAUCAGCCCAAGUCGUUACAGAUUCAGGAGGAAAAUAAAAAUAACCAUUCCCUAACAGAAUUUGCUAAGGAAAAAGGGAAAGCACGCAGUUUAAUUUGAUCCUCAGUUACCCCCUGAGGUUUCAUACUAAGGCAAACCAUAUGGAAUUCUUUCAAAUACUUGUGGGGAUUUUCGUUCUGUAACCUCCGAAAAGUUAGCAGCAGCUGAAUCAAGCCUGACUUUAAUUCAAAAUCAGUAUCCAUAGUAGGAUACGCAAUGCAUAGCGGCGCUUGUUCCAUCGGCGCUUCUGCCAGUUGUCGAAUUGCCUGAGCCAUAGGUUGAGGUGCUAAAUUAGGGUUUUCGCCAACCCUUGUGUUAAACACUUCUUCUGAGGAAUCGACUUCUACUUUUUCGCCUUUAAAAGUUUGAAUAGGGUUUUCAUUAACCCUAGACUCUACUUCGUCGUCGAUUUUGAUUUCUGGCGGUGGAUUACUUUGAGUCCCCACCACCGCUGACUGCUUUUUCCUUAUCUUUGUUUCCUUGCGAUUGGCUCUCGCAGUCUUUUCAAUCUCUGAAUCAGACGGAAGAGUUCCUGGAGCAGAUCUAGUCAUAAGAAACAAAAAACAAGAUUAGUACGUUACCGAUUCCUGGCAACAAUGCCAAAAUUUAAUGCGAUCGUUGAGAGCACCAAAAAUAUCCUAUUCCCUGUAAAAUAGUAAAAAUAAUAGUAAAGGGGAAGUAGGGUCGAAUCCUCAGGGACCGAAUUGUACGAAUUCUCGUUUCUUGAAAUCCUGGACAAUUUCUUGGCCAAGAAAACCUGCGUUCCUAAAAAAUAAAAAAAUAAAAUUAAGAAUCUGGAAAAAUAAAAACAAAAUUUAAAGUGAAUUGAAAUUGAAAAAUUAAAUAAAUUGCAGAAAUUAAAAUGAGGAAAAAUAAAUAGAGUUGGAAAAAGAGAAAGUUUCUUAUGUGGCGAGAUUCCAGCCUCUUGGGUUCAAUCCUUGGCUUUUAAGUAACCCUUCUCGAGCAGGAUAAGCCAGUUAUAGUGGAAGAGGACGCCUACGACCACCAGUUCCAAAGAUUUAGACUUAAAUUAGGCGGAACCUGACUCUAGCCAAUAAUCGCUUUUGUGGGACUAUCUUCUACUAGAUCAUCACUCCCCAACGGUGAAUACCACACCGUUUUGUCUCUUGGAUUUGCCAACCUCUGAAGCAGAAAGCCAACGAACCGACUGUGUAACCUUCCCAAAAGGAACAAAGCAGCCAUUCUUUGCACAAGUUGAAAAGAUCACCUAUUAAGGGACAUGGAAGAAGCGUCAGCCCCAUAGUGCAGAGAAGCGAUGAAUACUCUGUUGAGAAGGCUAAGCGAGGAUUCUAAGCCUCAUAAACCUUUUUAGGGAAUUUUGACAACCUUCUGCUAGAUUGGUUUAGUGGUUCAUGAUUUUUGGGGAAGAAAUAAAUAAAAUAGAUAUGGUAUUUUUAUUGAAGAAAAUAUGGAGAGAACAAAAUGAAAUAGUUUUUGGGAGAGGGAGUGUUUAUAGGAAAAAGAGAUGUCAAAUAUGUGCCACUCCAUCCCCUAUUUACAGUACUAGAAAACCUAGUUUAUUCCUAAUGAAAUUCUAAAAGAUAAAUGCAAAUAAAUAAAGAUAAUUAAAGAUAAAUGAAAAUAAAUCCUAAAAUUUAAAUCUAAAUAAAAAUCCUUAAUAAUUAUCCUAAUAUAAUUGAAAUUAAAAUAGAGUCUUGUGCUAUAAAAUCUCUUCUUUUGCAUUGUAGUCCUUGGGUCUUCCAUGUUUGCAUUUUUGGCACCACUUCUCUCUUUCUUUGCAUGUUGGCCCAUUAUUUCUUCAAAUUUGCACUUAUUGCCCUUAAAUUUUCUCUUGUCUCCAAUUUAGUCCCUAAAAGAUAAAAGACCAUAAAUAGCCCAAAUUAGCAGCAUCAUACUCAAAAUAAAUAUAUAAUUAGCACAUAAAAAUAUGACGUUCUAAAGUGUUAUCAAAAACAUGCACGUAUAUAUCUAUGUAAAAUGUUGAUGAUGUUGUUUUUUUUUUGUAAAAAUAAUAAAAAAGAAGUGGAAAAAAUCUUCAAUGCUUAACAUUUCAAAAAUAAUAAUAAAAAAGAAUAUGAGUGACGUGUUAUGAAAAAUAAUAUAAUAGUGAAAGAGUAUGUUUAUUGUAAAUGUGAAAGUUUGUUGUAUAAUUUGGAUUGUAAUGUCAUUGCAUUCGCGUGUAUCUACUUUCUUGCAUUUUCUUUUUAGUCAAACACUUCUUUUGUGUGUAUAUUGUUACAAGCCCAAUUCACCCGGCCCAUUUUGCAACCCCUAAACCCAAUAAACUCAAACCCUAGCCCAAACCAACAAUCUAAAGAAAAAAGAAAAGAAAAAAAACCCUAGCCGCACUUGUCCCAUCACCCCAUACCGUCGCCUCCACCAACUCCUCUGUCACCGCCGUUGACCCCCUCUAGACCUGCAAAAUAGAAAUAAAAAAGGGAGAAAGCAAAAAAGCAGAAAAGGAAAGCAAAACAGUGACGAAUAGCAUAAAAAAGUUGUUGUAAUUGGCUAUAAAAGGGCCUAAAACAAACGAUGUCCUCUCUUCUUCUUUCUUUUUUAUACGAAAAAACAACUAAUAGCAGGAAUCAAAAUAUUUCAAAAGAAAAGGUUGUCCUUUCAUUCUAUUAACUGAUUUUCUUAUUUUUCCAGUUGAUUUAACGCACGUACACGUAACACACACAUAUAUAUAUAUUUAAAAAGGAAAGGGUAUUGUUACCUUUUUCGGAGAUCGGAGAAGUCGGAACCGAACGGUUCCCAUGGCUCGAUCCGAUCUCCUAAGUCUCCUUUGCUUGUUUGGACUUCAGAUAUGGAAAGAGGGGGGCGAGAGGCAUCGAUUCGGAGAUUUUUACAUCUCCGACCGCCGUAUACAGCGGACGCCGAUGACCAACGAGCACCAAUUCGACGACCGAAAAUUGCCUAGGCCGGAUUCCCUCACAUCUCUCUUUCUUUUUUUCCUCUGCACUGACGAAAUGAAAAUUUCUCAAAAAAAUUUUGCUUUUAUAGCCCCUCGGUACGACGUCGUUUUGGGGCAAGCAUUUAAUACCCAAAACGACGUCGUUUAAUCGCCUGACCUGAACUCCGACCCGAGAAACACAUAGGAUCCGCGUGUUUUUGGACUGAGGGUCUAUUUGCGCCCUCAGUCCCUCCGCUUUUGAGGCCAGUUUCGAUGCGGUCCCUUUCCUUUUUUAUUAUUUUUUUCAUUUUCCAGGAAUUUCAUUUUUGUUUCAUUUUGGUCCCUAAUCUAACAGUGCGUUUUAGGGGACGGGUUUAUUACCCAUCCGGUCCUCCCCCGUUGAUUGCAUGUUCGAAUAGGUCCUUUUUUAUUGUUUUUAGUUCUGAUUUUGCCCCAAAUUUUUAUUUUGAGUUCAAAUUGGUCCCUUUUCACUUUUUACUAUUUUAUUAAUUAAUUUAAUAUUAUCAUCAUUAUAACUAUAUCUUAUUUUCAUGCUAUUGUUUAUUAUUAUUACGUUUGUUCUUCAUUAUUAUUAUUUUUUUUGGUUGCGAAUUUGCAUUAUUAUCCAUAUUAUUACUAAUAAUAUUAUUCCCUUAGUUUAUUAUUAUUGUUUCAUUAUCAUUUCCCAUUGUCAUUAUUAUUAAUGUAUUAUUAUUGUUUCUAUUAAUGUGUUGUUAUCAUGCUUUACUUUAUUAUCAUUAUAUUAUCAUUAUUGCUAUUAUCAUAUUAUUAAAUUAAUUAAUUUUAUAUUAAUUCUGUCAUUUUAUGUACAUAUAUUUUUCUUUGUGUUAUUCCCUUGUUUGUUUGUUUUUUUUACAUUAUUAUUAUUAAUCUUUUUUAAUUUUUUUCUUUUCUAAAACAUAUCAUGUAUUUUACAUUAUUACCAAUUUAAAACAUUUUAUUCAUAUUAUUUUUAUUAACUUUAUUUUAUUAUUAAUUCUAUAUUGUUUCAUAUAUAUAAUCAUUUUUAUUUUACGUAUUUUAAUAGAUAUAUUUUUUGAUUAAAAGUGAAUCACAUGUUUCAUACAUUAUUUAAAUUAUUACUAUUAAUAUAUGAAAAAAUUAGUACAUAUGUGUCGAAUCUAUAAAGUUAUGUAUUUUAUACUUAUGGUUUUCUUUGUACAUGUAUAAGUAUGUUUUUAAGUCUAUUAUAUAACUUAUGAUAAAACUAAUUUAAUUUUGCAUGCAUUUUCCUUUUAUUCUGAAUCUAUAUGUAUAUAUAUCUCUAUAAUUUGCAAAUCUAACAUGUUCUUAAAAUUAUUAUAUACUUAUAUUGUCUUUGCAUAUAUAUUUUUUUAUUAAGAUUGUUAAUUUUAAACCGAUAUUCUUUAAUACUUCGUCUAUUAUUCGAUUUAAAUGUUCAUUCUAUAAAAUAUAUUUUAAUGGUCAUAUAUAUACCUCUGUUUUGUUUCUGUAAAAAGUCUAGUUUAACUAUUCAUACAACAUAUAAUAUGUGUUCAUCCUUUUAAAUUUGUCUUAUGCAUAUAUACAUAUUUUUCUUUAACUUUCAUUUUGUUUUGCAUUUUUGCAUUUGAAUGCGUUGUAUUAGGUUGUAUAUAUUAUUGUGGUAUAUUAUUUUCGUUUUAUAUUGCCAUCAUAUUGAUUAUUCUUCAUCCUUGAUUAGGAAAUUGAUAAUAUUUUUAGAUUGGUGGAAUUUGAUUGUUACCUUGUUAGUUGAUUAAACGAAUUACAUUAUCUCCAUUUAUUCAUCAUAAUAUUUCAUACAUGUAUAUUAUCUCGUGUUUUUUUAUUUCCUUUCUGGUUUACAAAAUAAUUUCUAAUUCUUUAAAACUAAUUAUUCCCUUUUAUUUCAAGUUAAAUUAGUGUAUUUCAAGUUGGUUUUAUAAUUAUUUGUUUAAAAAUUCCUUAAAACAGAGGCGAUAUUCGAUGUUUGGCAAUUCGGGGAAUCGUGCCCUACCGUGCUGGGUUGCAAUUUCUCGUUUGCUCAAAAUAAUCGAAUGUCUCUUUAGAAUUUCAUUCAUGUUUUCUAAAAACUUUUUAAAACGAAGGAAAUGUUCGAUGUUUAGCAAUUCGGGGAAUAGUGCCCUAUCGUGCCGGGUUGCAAUCUCCUAUUUGUUCAAAAUAAUCGAAUAUCCCUUCGGAAUUUCAUUCGUGUUUUCUAAGGCGAGGCAAUGUUCAACGUUUGGAAAUUCGAGGAAUCGUACCCUACUGUGCUGGGUCUCGAUUUUUCGUUGGACUAAAUAAUUGAGCAUCCUUUUGAAAUUUCCAAAUUAUAAAUUUUUGGAAGUCGAAAUCUAUCGUGUUUUCGAGGGUAUAAAGGAUCGCCUCCUACCGUGAUGGAUGUGAUGCUAUAUUCCUCUGAAACAAGAAGAUUUUGACGGCCAAUUCAGGUUAUUCAAAUGUGAUCAAAAGGAACCUCAUUUCAAAAAUAUUUUAAAUCUUAGACACAAGGACAGUUAUUUAAUCGAUUUGGUACCAAUCUUGGGGCGUAAUGAGGGUGCUAAUCCUUCCUCAUACGUAACCGACUCCUGAGCCUAUUUUCUCAAAACUUCGUAGACCAAAAUCAUUGUUUUGGUAAACCAGAAUGUUUUAUUAAAACAAUCAAAUUUCUAGGUGAUCCGAUCACACCUAAACAAAAAAGAUUGGUGGCGACUCCAUUUUUUUUUUCAAAAAGUCGAUCCCCGUUUUCAAAAAAAUAGUUUCGACAUAUAUCAUGGUUUCUAGCGGUGUGAGUUUGUGAAUAUCAACUCCAAUUUUUUCAACCUACGUUAUUCAAAUUUGGAUGUAGGUGUUAUAUAUGGACAUGUCUGGUAUGAGCAUAUUCAUUUUAUUUUACAUUUUUAUUGUUUUUUAGAUUCCUUGAAGGAUCAUAUAUUUAUAUUUGUGUUCGAAUAUUUGUCCUAACUUUUAGAUACUUUGUAUAUGUAUGAUCAUAUUCUUAUUUUACCUAGGGAAAUGAGCAAGACUCUCAAUUCGAGCACGGAUGUCUUCUUGAAGAUGAAAAGAUUAAGACUAUUCAAAAUCCUUUGCCGAACAAAUUGUUGUGAUCUGACAUAUCUUUCUAAUGAGUUACAACUUUUAAAUUGAAUGGGAUGUCUCUUAAGGUCAUUAUCUUCAAGUUUCAAAUCGGAAAACCUUGUUAUACUUCUCCUACCUUAUAGUAAUAUUGAACAACUAUGGAAGAAAAACAUAGUAAAAAUUAACUCAUUUGGUCAUUGUUUUCUAUCUUAUUUUGAGAAUAAAGAUGAAUUUUUUAUUAACAUUGAAGAAUAACAAUAAAAAUGAGCUUUCCUAUGUUAAUCUCUUUUUAUCUCUAAUUUAUUAUUGUUUUCAACAACCUCUGUAUAAGUUGAAAGUGCUCAACCUAAAAGGGUCUGAAAACCUGAUCAAGGCAUCAGACUUCACAACUGCCCCAAAUCUUGAAAUUUUGGUUUUGGAAGGAUGUACUAGAUUAGCAUAUGUUCAUCCAUCUGUUGGAGUUCUUACGAGGCUUAAGCUUUUGAAUUUAAGAGGCUGUAAAAGUCUGAGGAUUUUUCCAACAAAAAUUGGAAUAAAAUCUCUUGAAAUGUUAAUUCUUUCAAGUUGCUCAAAACUUCAAAGCUUUCUAAAGAUUGAUGGGAAAAUGGAAUGUUUGUUGGAGCUUUGGUUUGAUGGGACAAACAUUAAAGAGCUACCUUCUUCAAUCAGAAAUCUGAGCAGUCUUGUUUUGUUAAAUUUGAAAGAUUGCAGGAACCUUGUGGAUCUCCAUUGGAGCAUAGGUGGGCGGGUGUAAAAGUUUUAAAUCACUUAAUCUUUCUGGUUGUUAUAAAGUUGAAUAUUUGCUAGAGAACUUAGAGCAAAUAGAAUUCUUGGAGGAGCUUGACUCAAGUGAAACAUCCGUGACAAAACCACCACCCUUCAUUUUUCAAUUUAAAAAUCUUAAAGUUAUGUCUUUUAAUGGGAUCAAGAGACCUUCUUCCAAGUUAAAAAAAAAUCCUUUCUUCUCUGUUAAAUAUAAUCCAAACAGGAAGGACAAUUUCUAUGGCUCUGACGUUGCCUUCGUUGUUAGGUUUGAGUUCAUUAACAAGGCUGAAUCUAAGGGACUGUAAUCUUUGUGAAGGAGAUAUUUCUGGUGAUAUUUCUCGCCUAUCCUCUUUGAAACAACUUGAUCUUGGUGGUAACAACUUCAUCAGCAUACCUUCGUGUGUUACUCAAUUUUCCAAGCUUGAAUUUCUUAGAUUGUCAGAUUGUAGGGCGCUUAAAUCGUUGCCUGAGCUUCCAACAAGAAUACGUGGUUUAAGAAUAAAUGGUUGUACUUCUCUCGAAAUAGUGGCAAAUCCUGCAAAUCAUCAAAAGUUUGCAAUUUGAAGGAUUGGGAAACUAUAUUAGGUGUUAAUUGCUUCAGAUUGGCUGAGAACAUCGAUACCUUAACAUUGCUGAAAAAAUAUCUAAAGGUUCGUUAAUAUCUCUAUUUCUGUGUGUCUUGUAGUUAUUCAUGUUGUCUCUUACCAAACAACCAGAGGUUUAUUUUGCAGGUAUUUGGAAAUUCAAGAAAAAAGUUUGUUAUUAUUAUACCUGGAAGUGAACUGCCAGAAUGAUUUAGUCAACAAAGAGGUGGCUCUUCGAUUAAGAUAGAUUUGCCUCUGGAAGUUUGGAAUGAUAGUCAAUGGAUGGGAGUUGCUUUGUGCUGCAUUUUUGUGAGUGAUAAUGCUUCAAGGGAUGAGAAUCUCAUGUGUAGAACUGUUAUCCACGGUAGAUAUUCUAGACAGGCCAAUUGCACUCGAUCUAAUUUCCAGGGUAGAAAUCCUCCAAUAGUCGAUUGGAGUGGCUGCUCUCUAAAUUAUGGUCUAGAACAGCCCGUAACGAAGGACCACAUGUUAAUUCGUUAUUUCUCGCGUGACAAGUUUUAUCCAAUUUCUUUGGAAGACAAAUGUGGUGAACGUGAAACCAAUAAUUUAUGGACAACAGAUUGCUUAGAUCAGGAAUGCCAUCAACUUGACUUGUCGUUCACAGAUCCCUUCCAUAACAGUGUUGUUGGUGCUGUAACUGAAACUAACGGAUUCAGUACAGACUUGUCGAGCAAGUCUCAAGACUUGCUGAGCAAACAAGAGAAUUCGAGCAAGAGAAAGGAAGAAAAGCUAAGAGAAAAUGAAGAGAAAAAUUGAUGAACAAACUGAACUUCAUUCAUAAAUUGCAUAAUGGCACAAUGCCAAUACAUAAACCAGGCACUAAGCUUGUCAAAAACAGUAAGUAAUUACCUAAACAUCACCUACCUCCACUAAUGACAUGGAAACUUGAAAUUUUGGCUUGUAAACUUAUACAAAGUUGUGUUUACAGCUCAUACAUAAGCUAAUUACAUCAGUCAACAACCUAACUUAGUUAGAAAUGAACUAAGAUUACAUUUCAUUGACUAGGAAUUACAAAAUAAACAAAAUAAGCUUGCAUCAGCAGCUCCUGCAUGUCUUGGUCUUCAUGGCCUGCAUGCUGUCGAGUUUGCUGCAUGCUGAACCAACUUCAUCACUCCUCCUUGGUUUGCAUGGAGCAAGCACCUAGCUUCUUUCUUAGACAUUCGAACCUUGUGACACUAAGGGCUUUAGUUAAAAUGUUUGCAAGUUGAUCCUCUGAAUUACAGUGGAUCAGCUUUACUUCCUGAGCUUGCUCCAUUUCUCGAACAACAUGCAACUUGAUGCUGAAAUGUUUUGUUCUUCCAUGGAACACUGGAUUUUUAGCAAUUGCUACUGCAGAUUGGUUGUCACAGAAGAUCUCAGUAGCUUCCUCUUGAUGCACAUUCAAGUCAGCCAAUAUUUUCCUUAGCCAUAUGGCUUGGUUGACAGCACUUGUUGUUGCCACAUACUCUGCUUCAGCAGUAGAUUGAGCUACUAGACUUUGCUUCUUUGAGCUCCAGCAAAACAUGGCUGAACCAAGGUUAAAAGCAUACCCUGAGGUGCUUUUCAUGUCAUCUAUCGAGCCAGCCCAGUCACUAUCAGUGUAGCCAACCAGCUUCAGAUUUCCUUCUUUGCUGUACUUCAAACCAUAGUUUAAAGUGCCUUUGACAUAUCUCAGCACUCUCUUUGCAGCUUGGAAAUGCUUCUCAUUGCAGCAAUGCAAGAACCUUGAGAGCAAUCCUACAGCAUACAUGAUGUAUGGUCUAGUGGCAGUCAAGUAUAGCAAGCAACCAACUAGACUCCUGUAGGUUGUUUCACAUACUUUCUCAAAAUCACUUUGGCUCGAUAGUUUUUCUCCAACAGCAACAGGUGUUUUAGUUGCCUUGCUGUUUUGCAUGGAGAACUUGGUCAGAAUCUUUGUGGCAAAGCUUCUCUGGAUUAGAAAUAUCUCAUUCUGUACUUGAGACACCUCCAUUCCAAGAAAAUAGGACAUCUCCCCAAGAUCAGACAUUUCAAACACUUCCUGCAUCUUGGUCUUGAAAUCAGCCAGCACUACUCGAUCUCCUCCUGUCACCAGAAGGUCAUCAACAUACAGGGACAUAAUGAGUUGUAUUUGUGUCCCUUGUUUCUUGACAUACAGUGUUGGCUCACUCUUGCUUCGAUCGAAUCCCAGAUCAGUCAAGUAGCCAUCGAUUCUGCUAUACCAAGCCCUUGGAGCCUAUUUUAAUCCAUAUAGGGCUUUCUUCAGUUUGUAGACCAUAUGCUCUCUGCCAGCUAUUUCAAACCCUUGUGGUUGUUCAACAUAGAUGUCUUCAUCUAAGAAACCAUUCAGAAAGGCUGAUUUCACAUCAAGUUGAUGGAUCUUCCAUUCGAGCUGUGCUGCUAAGGCAAUCAGCAGUCUGAUGGUGUCGAGCCUGGCCACUGGUGCAAAGGUCUCCAGGUAGUCCAAGCCAUACCUCUGACUGAACCCCUUGACAACUAGCCUUGCUUUCAGCUUGUUCAAGGUACCAUCAGCAUUCUGCUUGGCUUUGUACACCCAUUUCACCCCAAUCACCUUCCUUUUGACUGGCCUUUCAACCAAUUCUCAGGUCUGGUUCUUCUCAAUCAUGCUGAUCUCCUCAGCCAUUGCCUGCUUCCACCCUUGCUGAGCCUCAGCCUCUUCAAAGUUGCUUGGUUCAGCUAUGGCUACAUGAUCCCUUUCAUAAAUCUCAGCCAAUGGCCUUGUUCCUCUGACUGGUUCAUCAUCAAUAUCCAUUUCAGGGACAUUUUGGUCUGGCUCAGCUUGGUCUGCUUGGUCUGCUGCAAGUUCUUCAGAAACUUCUUCAGGUUCAUGUCUUUCCCAGUUCCAACAUGACCUCUCAUCAAAUACCACGUCCCUGCUUACUGACACUUUGUUUGUUGAAGGAUCUAAAAUCCUAUAGCCCUUCUUAACAGUGCUAUAGCCCACCAAAACACCAGGUCGAGCCCUUUCAGACAAUUUGUCCCUUUUAACAGCAGGUACAUGUGCAUAACAGAUGUAUCCAAAGACCUUCAGAUGAGCCAGUGAUGGCUUGAAGCUAAACCAGGCCUCGAAUGGGGUCUUUUGAUCCAAAGCCUUGGUUGGAAGUCUAUUUUGAAUGUAUGUUGCAGUGUUAACUGCUUCUGCCCAUAGUGCUUUAGGCAGAUUCUUCUGAAUCAUCAAGCACCUAGCUAUAUCCAUCAAACUCCUAUUCUUCCUUUCACUUACCCCAUUCUGCUGAGGUGUAUAUGUGUUGGUAAGUUGAUGUUUGAUGCCUGCCUUAUCACAGAAGGCUUGGAACUGCGUUGAGGUGUACUCAGUCCCAUUAUCAGACCUUGUGGUCUUCACCUUGCAGCCUGUUUCAGUCUCAGCAGCAGUUUUGAACUUCCAAAACACAGUGGCCACCUCUGAUUUCUGUUUUAAGAAGUAAAUCCAGCAAUAUCUCGAGAAAUCAUCAAUGAACAGUAUGAAAUACCUGUUUCCACUUAAUGACUCAGUCUUCAUAGGGCCACACACAUCAGUAUGCACCAGUUGGAGUUUUUCAAAGGCUCUCCAGGCUUGAUUCGAGGGAAAUGGGAGUCUGGCCUGCUUUCCUAGCUGACAUACUUCACAUACAUCAUCAUGGUCCACUGAGUUGAUGAAGUUUUUAGCCAGGUCUUCUCUGAUCAUUCGGGCCAUCGAUAUGAAGUUGGCAUGUCCUAGUCUUUGAUGCCACAGCUUGGAUUCAUCUGAAGUGGCUGUGUAGGCAAUGUCUGACUUCUUUGUCCAGUCAACCACAAAGCUCUUAUCAGCCAUGGGGACUGACAUCAGUUUGGAUCCACUUGGAUCACUGAUUUGGCACUGGUGGUCUUUAAACACAACUGAAUAACCUUUUUCCAGCAACUGAGCUAUGCUGAGCAGGUUUCUGUCAAUUUCAGGCACCAACAGCACAUUUGAAAUCACUUUGGUACCUGUAAGGGUGCAUAUCAGCACAUCACCCUUGCCUUCAGCUUGAAUAAAAUGACCAUUUCCUAUCUUGACUUUAGUUCUGCAGCUUCUGUCUAAAGACUUGAAGAUUGCAGCAUCAGGUGUCAUGUGGUUGGUGCAUCCACUGUCUAGGAGCCAACCAGAUGAGGACCUUUCCUGAGCAGCUGAGCAUGACACAGCAAAGACUUGCUCCUCUUGGUCACUGUCCUCCUUAGCUACUCGAGCCUCAGCUUUCAUCUGUUGAAACUGAUUGUGCCUUGAUUUGGCCUUGCUCUUACAGACUCUCUCAACAUGACCCUUCUUCUUACAAUGCUGACACACAGCAUCUGGAUUGAACCAGCAUUUUUCUUCUGAAUGACCAGCCUUUCUGCAGUGCUUGCAAGUCUGACCUUCUCUCCUUGCAGCAUCAUUCUUUGGCUUGUCUCUCCAGGCCUUUUUGCCUUUGUAGGCAGUAUUUGUUCUUUCCUGAAAGGCACCUUCUUGGUGCUCCUCCAGUCUGCUUGCUCUCCUCUGCUCUUGAGCAUAUAGAGCAUUGAUCAACUCUGUCAGGGAGAUGGUGGACAGGUCCCUUGAGUCCUCGAGAGAUGAGAUUUUUGCCUCAUACCUCUCAGGCAGAGUUGCUAUAACCUUCUCCACUAUCCUAGCUUCAUUGAACUGCUCUUCUAAGAGCCUGAUGCUGUUAACCACAGCCAUAAUCCUGUCAGAAUAUUGCUUGACAGUUUCUUCUUGCUUCAUCUUCAAAUUCUCGAAAUCUCUCCUCAAGUUCAACAACUGUUGCUGCCUUGUCCUCACUGUCCCUUGAAACUCUUCCUGCAACUUGUCCCAGGCCUAUUUUGGUGAUUCACAGGCCAUAAUCCUUGUGAAAAUCACAUCAGACACUGAGUUUUGGAUGCAAGACAUAGCCUUGUGCCUCUUGGUCCUUUCAUCAGCAUGAUGCCUAAUCUGAGCCACUGUUGGAUUAGCUCUAAGUGGCUCUGGUUCAAAAUCAGAGUUGACGACCUCCCACAGAUCGAAAGCCUGCAGGUAGGUCUUCAUUUUGACCACCCAUAUGUGAUAGCCUUCUCCAUUGAAGACUUGAGGUGCAGCUGGUGAAAAGCUUGAUGAAGCCAUGGAUUUGUGUAACAGAUCCCUUAAGAAAUAGGCUCUAGAUACCAAUUGUUGGUGCUGUAACUGAAACUAACGGAUUCAGUACAGACUUGUCGAGCAAGUCUCAAGACUUGCUGAGCAAACAAGAGAAUUCGAGCAAGAGAAAGGAAGAAAAGCUAAGAGAAAAUGAAGAGAAAAAUUGAUGAACAAACUGAACUUCAUUCAUAAAUUGCAUAAUGGCACAAUGCCAAUACAUAAACCAGGCACUAAGCUUGUCAAAAACAGUAAGUAAUUACCUAAACAUCACCUACCUCCACUAAUGACAUGGAAACUUGAAAUUUUGGCUUGUAAACUUAUACAAAGUUGUGUUUACAGCUCAUACAUAAGCUAAUUACAUCAGUCAACAAACCUAACUUAGUUAGAAAUGAACUAAGAUUACAUUGACUAGGAAUUACAAAAUAAACAAAAUAAGCUUGCAUCAGCAGCUCCUGCAUGUCUUGGUCUUCAUGGCCUGCAUGCUGUCGAGUUUGCUGCAUGCUGAACCAACUUCAUCAAGUGUUAAGGUGAAGAAGUGUGGUGUUAGAAUAGUGUAUGAGAGAGAUCUGGAAGAGAUGAACAAAUAAAAGAGCUGCAUAGUAGUCAGUGUUGUGCAAAUUUUGAAGAUAUCCAGCAACACUCUGUUGAUGAUGGAUCAAUAGGUAACGGUUCCCUAUAAAGCAGAAACGUAAAUAUAUGAGGAGAAGGAUGAAGGGCCGCAAUCAAAAUAGAUGCAAAAAAAAAAAUCAAUUCUACAAUGAGUAGAUUGAGGAAGAAGCACUAGUUGUGGUAAACUACUUCAUUAGCCUUGUCCUAUUAAUUUUUUUUAUGACCUUUUUUUUAUCUAUAAUAUUAUUUAUAGUUUUUUAGUUUAUUUUAAGUAUUUAGUUUUGAUAUCUUACUCUACAAUAAAUGAGAUAUAAUCUUUCAAAUAUAUAUAAUAUUUAACCUAAAAAUUUUAGCAUAUACAUGUUGAACAGAAACUCGUAUUCUAUGCCUAUCCCAAAUUUAAAUAAUAACAUUCAAAAUAUUAUUCAUUUUUAUAUAAUUAGAUUUCAUGAUCGCAGAUUGAAAAAAUAUAAACGACUAGAGAUAAAAUGUGGAGGAAGUUUUGAUUGCUCCAUGAAGAAGCAACUAAUAAGUAAGUUGCGAAUUCUUUAUUAAGGUUAUAAUCAUCCUUUUAUUUUUGUUAUUAGACUAUUUUCGUAAAAUAAAAUUGUCCUUUCAUUUUUGUUCGAAAUUGUUAGACACCAAGUUAUGUAUUAAAUACGAUAUGUGUCUAGUUAAACUUUUAAAAUUGUUUUAAUAUAUUUAAAAUAUCAAAUAAAAAUAAUAUAGACAAAAUAUUAAUUUAGUUCUUAAUGUUUACAUUUUUUUAUCACUUUACAUUUUAUUCUUUGUUUGGGUUAAAUUUGACACACAACUUUUAAGAAAAAGUUAAAUUUGACCAUUAAAUUUUUAAUAAAGAAACAAAAUGAUAUUUUUUUUAAAUUGAAAAUAUUAACUAAAAUAUUAAAAUUUUAAACACAACAACAUGUACUCCAUGCUAAAAUUUUUUAAUUCUUAUGAAAAAUUUAUAUUUUUUAAAUUUAAAUUUAAAUUGUGAUUUAUUUUUAUUUUUUAUUUUUAUAGUUUUUGACUUAUUUGUUAGUGUGACGUAUAAGAAUAAUAUAUAACAAAUAUUAAAUACCAUCUCAUAGAAUAAGAAUAAUAUAUAAAAAUUCAUUGCUUUUCAAUUUUGUUUAUUGUAUUUAGUUUUUUUUAGUAGUUACACAUCUUCAAAUGAAUAAAUAUUCUCAUUGCGUGAUACAAAUUAUCAUCUCUUUUCUUUCAAUUUAGUUGUUUUGUUUAUUCAUAUGUUUUCAUUAAGCUUUAUUCAUUUCAUUUUCAACUUCCAUUCUCAUUUUUUUUUCCUUUUUCAAUUUUAUUGAAUUGUGAUAUUUUUGUUAGAUGAUGAUUAUAUACUCAACAAUAAACAACGAUUGUCUCUAACUUUGAUGCCAUUCUUUUAAAAAUUAUUUAUGGCUAAGAAGUAAUAUCUUUUAAAAGCUUUAAUAUCAAUUAUUAAACUACUAAUGUGCAUGAAAAUUUUAAUGAAAUUUUUUUAGAGAUACGUUAAGUAUUACUUUGUUCUGUUCUUUUUCUUAUGCAGUUAUAGUUGUUAGACUCGUAAAAAUAAGCUAAACAUAUAUAUAUAUUUUUUGUUUUAAUUCAAAAUUUAAAAAAAAUUGAAUUUGAGUGGUAUUUUAUUUAAGAUGAUUUUAGAAUUAUUAUAGAUAAUUUUCUUUUAUUAAUUUAAAUACUACAUUAUUAUUUGAAUAGUAUAUAUUGGAGAUUACAUUUGAUUUUAAAAACUAUUAUUGCUAUAUAUUAUAUAUUAGAGAAUACCAUCAAUAAAACUUAUCAAAUUGACUUGUUAGACUUCCACCACUACUCGCUUUCAUAGAUUAUUGUGGAGAUUCGUUCUCAUACUUCCUCAUGUCGUUUACCAUUUUCAAAAACAUAGAUGAGAUUGUGGCUGCUGCAAAUGGGUUGGGAGCAGUAGGAGGAGUAUUUCGGGAUGCUCAAAGCGAAUGGAUUGCCGAGUACUUUAGAGGCACUCUGCAAGUCGAGUUAUGGGCAGUCGUGGAUGGACUUGGUGUUGCAUGGGAAAAGGGAUUUCGGCAACUUCUUGUUGAGUUAGAUAGUGAUGAUGCUAUUCAUCUCAUUAAUUCAACUCAAGCAAAGGAAAGUAACCUAAGGUUGGUGCAUGUUAUAAGCAGACUUAGGGAACGACUGUGGUAAGUUGAGUUCAUCAUAGAUUGCGUGAGUCAACAGUGUAGUUGAUAGUUUAGCAAAGAAAGAACUCAACUUCAUCGAUAAUUCGUAUACUUGAAAAUUUACUAGACGAGCUAAGAGACAGUCUUGAAUGGGAUCACAUUGGACCUACCUUUCAUCGAUUUAGAUUUUGUUUGUUGUUUUUCUCUCUAUUCAAAAAAAAAAAAAAAAGACUGUUGGCUGGGGUUCAAAGCAGAGGGAUGUUUUAUUUUUCUUUUACUUUGGGCUGAAUACUGUAAAAAGGAAAGGGUUUUUGUAUUGUUGGGCCGAUGUUUCCAGCUUAACCCGGCUGCAAUGAGCCCAAAAUUUCCAUAUGUAAUUACUCUGUCAUCUUUAUGCUGGUUUGAUGAUUGAGUUUGAAAAUUGUUUGGAUCCAAUUUUCUUUACUUGACACUUUCCACACCGAAAAGCAAAAUGUGUUUGAACCAAAAAAAUUAAGGAAAAGAAAAAGGUGAUUAAGGGGCGUGCUUCUUCACUUUGCUUUUCUAAUUAAAGUAGCCUCCACUCUGUGGACGAAGCAACCAAUUCUGCCCUCACCGUCAACGAUUCUUCCUGGAAAGCACCAUCAUUUUCAUUUGUCACCAAACUUCCACCACUACACCUUUUCAUAGCUAUUAUGAUGGAGAUUCGUUUUGAAGAAAAAAAAAGGUAGGACAUGUAUAGAGAAAUUGCUUAGAAACCUGUGUCCGCUUUCCCUUUCUUGAUGCUCCUAUACUUGGUCUGUUUCUAGUUUCUUUCUUCAUAUUGAGCCACCGUAUUUUCUGGUUUUCCCAAACUAGAUUGUCAUAUCUUUUUCCUUCUCAGACUUCCUCAUGUCCUCGUUACUGUCAACUUCCUCGUUAUUCCUAGACAAAAAGAAUAUGACGUAUUCUUGAGUUUUAGAGGUGAAGAUACUCGUCAUAACUUCACAGACCAUCUCUAUGAUGCUUUGAGAAGGACCGGAAUCGUCACUUUCAGGGAUGAUCCAAAGCUGGAGGCCGGCGAAGAGAUCGCGCCUGAGCUCUUCAAAGCAAUUCAACAAUCAUGGUGCUCACUAAUCGUUUUCUCGGAAAACUAUGUCUUUUCAGGUUGGUGCUUGGAGGAACUUGCUGAUAUUGUUAAACAAAAAAAGGAGAAUGGACAUAAAGUAUUUCCAAUUUUCUAUGGUGUGGAUCCAUCUGAUUUAAGAAAACAAAAAGAGAAAGUUGAAGCAGCUUUUGCCAAACAUGAAGAGAGAUACAAGGAAGAUGAAGCAAAGAUCCAAAGGUGGAGAAGUGCUUUAACUGAAGUGGCUAAUAUCAAGGGAUGGCACUCAAAUAAUAGGUUUUUUUUUUCUUCAAAUUUGUUUUGAAAUAGCUGUUUUAUAUAUAUAUUGACAAAAUUGGAAAAUUGUUAUUUUCUAGUGUUAUAAGGCAAAUAAGGCAAUAACACCAGAAAAACUAUAAACUCAAGUCCUCCAAGUGUAUCCUAAAUUUGUUCGAUAGAGUACUAUGCGUUUCAUAUCUUAAUUUUUUUCCUAGAUCAUUUAACUUCAUUUCCAUAUCAAUAAUUUUCUUAAUUAAAAAUUACAUCUUUGUAUCUUUGUAGGCAUGAAUCAGAAUUUAUUGGAGACAUUGUUAAAAAAAUAUCAGCAAAGUUAUGUCAAACAUAUCCAAUUGUCCAUGAUGAUGAGUUAGUUGGAAUUAGUCCAAGCUUGGACAAUUUGCAUUCGGAAAUAGAAAUUGGGGAAGAUGAUAUCCGUAUCAUAGGAAUUUGUGGUAUGGGUGGCAUUGGCAAAACGACCCUCGCAAGAGUUGUUUAUAGUCAAAUGUCCCCUCAUUUUGAAGGUAAAAGCUUUCUUGCUAAUGUUCGAGAAGUUUCAGAGAAAUAUGGACUUGUUUCUUUACAAAAACAACUACUUUCUCAGAUCUUGCUUGAUGAAAGCUUCAAUUUUUUUAAUGCUCAUGAAGGGAAAGCCAUAAUUAACCACAGGUUGUCUCACAAAUAAGUUCUUGUUGUUCUUGAUGAUGUUGAUAACCUACAACACUUGAAAUGCUUGGUUGGAAGGCGUGAUUGGUUCGGUUUAGGGAGUAGAAUCAUUGUAACAACAAGAGAUGAGCAUUUGCUUCGAUCUUAUCGAGUUGAUGGUGUUUAUAAGCCUACAACAUUGAAAAGAAAUGAUGCACUUCAUCUUUUCAAUUUGAAAGCUUUCGGUUGUGAGAAAGUGCCAAAAGAGGAUUUCAUUGAGCUAGCUAAACAUGUCGUAGGUUAUGCUGGUGGACUCCCCUUAGCUCUUGAAGUUUUGGGUUCUUUUCUGUGUGAUAGAGAUGCAAGGCAAUGGAAAAGUGCAAUAGAAAGACUUGAAAGAGAUUCUAACAAAGAAAUUUUUGACAGACUUCAAAUAAGUUUUGAUGGACUGGAAGAAAGGGAGAAGAAUAUAUUUCUAGAUAUAGCAUGUUUCUUCAAUGGGGAGGAGAAAGAUUUUGUAAUGAAAGUAUUGGAUGGUUGUGAAUUUUUUCCGGAUAUUGGAAUUGAUGUUCUUAUUAAAAAAUCUCUACUAACUAUUAACAGACACAACCAGUUGUUGAUGCAUGACUUGCUACAAGAAAUAGGGAGAAAAAUUGUUAGGGAAAAAUCUAUUGAUGAACCUGAAAAACGUUGCAGAUUGUGGGAGGAAAGAGAUGUAUAUCAUGUGCUAACAAAAGCAACUGUAAGUAAUUCUACAAAAAUUAUAUAUAUAUACAUAUUUAUAUAUGUAGCUUAAUUGAUUCAAACAAUUAAAUUUAAGAUGUGGCAUUAAUUAGAUUUGAGGUUGAAUUUGAAACGACGACAUCUUUUGUACAAAAACAUAUUAAUAAGAAAUGCAGGAUAUGUAUAAACAAAAAUGUAAUUUCAUUGAAUUACUUUAGUUGAAAAUGUUUUAUUUAGCUUGUGUUUUACUAUACAUACAAUGAUAAUCAUAAAUGUAAACUUUAUGAGCUUUUGUAAUAUUUUACUUUUAUUUUUUUUUAGGCUACAGAAAUGAUUGAAGGCUUAAUCAUCGACAAUAAAAGGUAAGAUGACAUACAAACAUAUAUAUCUAUGUAUACUUUUGAUUUUUUUUUUAAAUAAUUAAAAGGGAGUGGCAACCCUUUAAUGCUUAAUAUUUAAAAUAAAAGAAAAAGAAGUGGUAUGAAUUAUUGAAAAAAAAGAAUGUUGCAUUUAAUUGUAUCUAUUUUCUUGAAUUUUCUCUUUAGUCAAACACCUUUCUUGCGUUUAUAUCAUGGUUUCUAGCCUUAUAUGUUAUUUCAAGAUAUGUGAGUUGUAUUUGACAUGUGUAUAUUCAUUUUUCUUAGCUUUUUCAUAUAUUGCAAAAGCCCUUGAAGGAUUAUAUCUAUAUAUCCAUAUCUGAACAUGCUUUAGAUAUAAGUGUUAGAUACGAGUAUUUCAAAAAAGAAGCAAUGAAGUGAUUAAAGUUUUAGAGAUUAUGUUUUAUAUAGCUUUAUUCUUAUACUUGUUCGCCCAGGGAAUUGGACAAGACUCUCACUUUGAAUGGGGAUACUUUCUUGAAGAUGAAAAGAUUAAGAUUGCUCAAAGUCCAUUGUCUUUCAAAUUGUUGUGAUGUCACCUACCUUUCUAAUGAGCUACGACUUUUAGAAUGGUCAGGAUGUUCUUUAAGAUCUCUGCCUUUAGGCUUCCAACCGGAAAAUCUUGUUGUACUUCUCUUGCCUUAUAGCAAUAUUGAACAAUUGUGGAAGGAAAAUACGGUAAGAAUUAACUCAUUUUGUCUUUGUUUUCGAAUUCGAGAGGAACAUAUUAACAUAGAAGAAUAAAAAUGAAAAUAAGCUUCACCAUAUUUUUUCUCCUUUUAUCUCAAAUUUAUUAUUGUUUUCAACAGGCCCUGUAUAAGUUGAAAGUGCUCAACCUCAAAGGGUCGGAAAACCUGAUCAAGGCACCGGACGUCACAACUGCCCCAAAUCUUGAAAUUUUGGUUUUGGAAGGUUGUACUAGAUUAGUAUAUGUUCAUCCAUCUGUUGGAGUUCUUACGAGGCUUAAGCUUUUGAAUUUAAGAGGCUGCAAAAGUCUCAGGAGUUUUCCAACCAAAAUUGGAAUGGAAUCUCUUGAAAUGUUAAUUCUUUCAGGUUGCUCAAAAUUUCAAAGCUUUCCAGAGAUUGAUGGGAAAAUGGAAUGUUUGUUGGAGCUUUGUUUUUAUGGGACAAAAAUUAAAGAGCUACCUUCUUCAAUCGGAAAUCUCAGAAGGCUUGAAGUUUUGAAUUUAAAAGACUGUAAAAGUUUUAGGAGUCUUCCAACCAAAAUUGGAAUGGAAUCUCUUGAAAAGUUAAUUCUUUCAGGUUGCUCAAAUCUUCAAAGCCUGCCAGAGAUUGAUGGGAAAAUGGAAUGUUUAUUGGAGCUUUAUUUAGAUGGGACAAACAUUAAAGAUCUACCUUCUUCAAUCGAAAAUCUCAGAAGACUUAAAGUUUUGAAUCUAAAAGACUGCAAAAGUCUUAGGAGUCUUCCAAUCAAAAUUGGAAUGGAAUCUCUUAAAAAGUUAAUUCUUUCAGGUUGCUCCAAUCUUAAAAGGUUUCCAGAGAUUGAUGGCAAAAUGGAAUGCCUGCUAGAGCUUUAUUUAGAUGGGACGGCCAUUAAAGAGCUACCUAUUUCAAUUGGAAACCUGAGCAGUCUUGUUUUGUUAAAUUUGAAAGAUUGCAGGAACCUUGUGGAUCUCCCAGAGAGCAUAGGUGGGUGUAAAAGUUUAAAAUCUCUUAAUCUUUCUGGUUGUCAUAAAGUUGAAUAUUUGCCAGAGAAUUUGCAGCAAAUAGAAUUCUUGGAGGAGCUUGACUUAAGUGAAACAUCCAUGACAAAACCACCACCCUUCAUUUUUCAAUUUAAAAAUCUUAAAGUUCUGUCUUUUAAUGGGAGCAAGGGAUCUUCUUCCAAGUUACAAAAAAAACUUCCUUCUCUGUUAAAGGUAAUCCAAAGAGGAAGGACAAAUUCUAUGGCUCUGAUGUUGCCUUCGUUGUCAGGUUUGAGUUCAUUAAAAGAGCUGAAUCUAAGGGACCGCAAUCUUUGUGAAGGAGAUAUUCCUAGUGAUAUUUCUCGCCUAUCCUGUUUGGAAGUACUUGAUCUUGGUGGUAACAACUUCAUCAGCAUACCUUCAUGUGUAACUCGAAUUUCCAAGCUUGGAUUUCUUGUAUUGUCAGAUUGCAGAGCGCUUAAAUUGUUGCCUGAGCUUCCAACAAGUAUUCUUGGUGUAAUAAUAAAUGGUUGUACUUCUCUCGAAAUAGUUGCAAAUCCAUCAAAAGUUUGCAAUUCAAGUUUUUGGUCGGAUAUGAUAGGUGUUAAUUGCUUCAGAUUGGCUGAGAACAUCGAUGCCUUAACAUUGCUGAAAAAACAUCUAAAGGUUCGUUAAUAUCUCUGUUUCUCUGUGUCUUAUAAUUAUUCAUGAUGUUAGUUACCAAACAAGCGAAGUUUUAUUUUGCAGGUAUUUGGAAAUUCAAAAAAGAUUUUUACUAUUAUUAUACCUGGAAGUGAAAUGCCAGAAUGGUUUAGUCAACAAAGAGGUGAGUCUUCGAUUAAGAUAGAUUUUCCACUCGAAGUUCGGAAUGAUAGUCAAUGGAUGGGAGUUGCUUUGUGCUGCAUUUUUGUCAGUGAUGAUGCUUCAAGGGAUGAGAGACUCAUGUGUAGAGCUGUUAUCCACGGUAGAUAUUCUAGACAAGCCAAUUGCACUCAAUCUAAUUUCCAGGGUAGAGUUCCUCGACAAGUCGAUUGGAGUGGCUAUACUGUAAAUGAUCAUUUUGAACAGCACGUAAUGAAGGACCACAUUUUAAUUCGUUAUUUCUCGCGUGACAAGUUGUAUCCAAUUUCCUUGGAAGACAAAUGUGGUGUACAUGAAACCAAUAAUUUAUGGACAACAGAUUGCUUAGAUCAGGAAUGCCAUCAACUUGAGUUGUCGUUCACAGAUUUCAUCUGUAACAGUGUUAAGGUGAAGAAGUGUGGUGUUAGAAUAGUGUAUGAGAGAGACUUGGAAGAAACACAAGUGCUGCAUAGUAGUCAGUGUUGUGCAAAUUUUGAAGAUAUCCAGCAACACUCUGCUGAUGAUGGAUCAAUAGGUAAGGGUUCCCUAAUAAAGCGAAAACGUAAUAUGUAUGAGGAGAUGGAUGAAGGGCCGCAACCAAAACGAAUGCAAAAAAUUUUCAGUUCUAUAAUGGGCAGACUUGGGAAGAAGCACUAAUUGUGGUAAACUACUUCAUUGGCCUUCUCCUAUUAAUUGUUUUUAUUUUUUGACUUUUUUAAUCUAACAUGUUAUUUACAGUUUUUUUAUUAUUUCAUUUAAAGUAUUCACUUUCGAUAUAUUUACUCUACAAUAAAUUAGAUAUAAUCUUUCAAAUAUAUAUAUAAUUAACUUAAAAAAUCUAAGCAUAUACAUGUUAAACACAAACUCGUAUUCUAUGCCUAUUCCAAAUUUGGGUAACAUUGUUUCUUUUUUAUAACAUUCAAAGUAUUAUUCAUUUUUAUAUAAUUAGAUUUUGUGAUAACAGAUUGAAAAAAUGUAAUCAGGUGGAGAUAAAAUGUGGAGGAAGUUUUGAUUGCUCCAUGAAGAAGCAACUAAUACGUAAUUGACAAUGUUUAGGUUAUAAUCAUCCUUUUAUUUUUGUUAUUAAACUAUUUUCGUAAAGUAAUAUUGUUGUUUUUUUUUGUUCGAAAUUGUUAGGCACCAAGUUAUGUUAAAUAUGAUGUGUCUAAUUUAAUCUUUUAAAAUUGUUUUUAUAUAUUUGAAAUAUUAAAUAAAAUGUAGGUACAAUAUCAAUUUAGUCCUUAACGUUUACAUUUUUUAUCAUUUUACCUCAUAUUCUUUAUUUGAGCUAAAUUUGACUCUUAACUUUUAAAAAAAAAGUCAAAUUUGAACAUCAAUUUUUUAAUAAAGAGGGGAAAUGAUAUUUUUUUAAGGAGAAUACUAACUAAAACAUUAAAAUUUAAACACAACAACUUGCAUGUAAUUCAUGUGUACUCCAUGCUAAAAUUUUUUAAUUCUUAUGAAAAUUUUAUAUUCUUUUAAUUUUAAUUUAUUUUAAUUUUUUUAUUUUUAUAGUUUUUGACUUAUUUGUUAGUGCAACAUAUAAGAUAAAGCAAGUUAUGUUAGCAUGAUAUGCACAUGCAUUUUCAUGUGAAUUGUCACGCAAACAACAUUAAAAAAUAUAAUAUUUUAGUCAUUAUUUCAUUAAAUAAUAAUUUCAUUUUUUUAAAGUUUAAAGAUUAAUUUUAACUUAGGAAAAGGAUAAAGACUAAAUUACCCGAAAAUGUACGUUAUACAUAGAAUAAGAAUAAUAUAUAAAAAAUAUUAAAUACCAUCCCAUUGCGAAUUCAUCCCGGUUGGGUUGCCCAUUUCUAAAUGGGAAAUUAUUUGGGUUUGUUCCUUCCCCAAAGUGUGGGGUAGGUUUAUCCUAUCCUCCAUGUAAAAUAAAAAUACAAUAGCAUGUAUUACAUAUUCUCUUUCUCUCAUUUAGAGUUUUCCUCCAUGCUGUCCCUUAAAACAAAUUUUUUCUUCCUUUUUUUUUUUUGAAAAAUUAUUUAAAGCUUAAUUAAAUUAAUGAAUGUGUAAAUUGUUUAGUCAUUUCUCAAAUAAGUUAAUACUUAUGAUACUAAUUUAGUCACAUUUUUUUUAAUACAAAUGUUUAGAAUUACUUAUAGUCUCUCUUCAACCUUUAAAUAGGAGGGUAAAUAGGUUUCAACGCACUAGAAACCACAACCUCCUACAUAAGCAACAAUGUUGAUACCAAUCAAGUUAGAACUCAAUCAUAAUUUUUUUUUUAAUACAAAUGUCUAGAAUUAUCUGCAGUCUCUUCCCAACCGUUAAAUAAGAGGAUAAAUUUGUUUCAACGCACUCGAACUCACAUCCUCCUGUAUAGGCAACAAUGUCAAUACCAACCAAACUAAGACUCAGUCACAAAUUUAAAUACUAAUAUAGAUGAUAACUAAAAUAUAAUUUAAAGUAUGUUCGGUUAUGAUAAAAUUAUGUGGAAAUAAUAUAUAUUUAUAUAUGAAUAUGUCAAAUUUUAUAUAAUGUAAAUUGUUAAUAUAGUAAAAUUGGAAAUUGGUUAAAGAUAAUUAUUAUCUUAGAAAAUAUUGAAAGGAUACAUGGUAUGCUCAAAAUUUAAGUUGCACUUUAAGAAGAAUUCUACUAACGGGUUCCUUAAUAUCACUGCGCAUGAUUAGCGCUGUUGGAACCGUUAGCUCCCUGCUUUAACUUCACCCCCCAUCAUUUCCAUAGUUCCCACAAUGCCACUGUUGAAAACAAAGGCAUUUCUAUUUUUCCAAAGUUUCUAGUAGGCCAUAGCAGAAAGUGUACCUCCAAUCAGUUCCUUCCACACAAAAAAGUUCUUUGAGUUCCAGAGAAACUCACUGUUCUUCCAAUUCCUAGUGCCCAAUUGGCACUAUUUGGUACAUCUUCCCAGAGAUUGGACAAAGACCUCCAGAGAAACGAGCAAUUAGAAGGAUGUAUAGAAGAUGACCAUUUACUUAUUACCCCAUACUUGUUUCGAAGGACUUUUAAUCCAUAGCACAUCCAUGUUAGAAAUAAUAUUAAUAGUUAUUUUAAGCAUGAAGGCUUUAUUGUGGUCUCAUACUUUCCUCAACCCAAGUCCACCAUUCAUUUAAGACAUUCAACAUUUAUCACAACUCACUAAAGUUGGUUUUUGGUAACUAGAUGUUGAACCCCAAAUGAAUCCUUGAACCAGCUUCUCAAUUUUGUUGCAAUUGUCUUAGUGAUCACCUUAAAAAAGACCAUCUAUACCGAUCCUCGAGUUGCUUUGGCAGUUCCCUCUUUGCUUUUUCCAUUUCAUCCAGAUCAAGAACUACAAGAUUAGUUGGAUUGCCUCCCGGAUUGGAGCUUAAGCCUAUCGAGUAAUCCACUGGUGCCGAGGUACCGGUUUGAUAUUGUUGGGUUUUGAUAAGAGGCUCCUCAUUGUCCUUUUCAGCAUUGAUCAUGGAGCUUUUUCCUUUUUCUAGCUCAUUAGUCAGCAAUUGGGACAUCAGAUUCAUCAUAUCCCUUUGAGACUCUAGCACUUGGUCCCUCUUAUCUUGCUGGAUCUUCACCAGUUGCUCUUGCAUUUGCAGUUGUAACUGGCCUUGCAUCUCUCUUUGAAGUUGUUCAAGUCUUUCCAAUCUUUGAUCCAUAUCUUUUAUCUUUUUUUGUGUACCGUAAAGAUGACUAGUCAUUUGACUUUUGCCGGUUCCCAAGUUAACUGAAAUAAUUUUAUCUAAUUAGAGCACUUUAGGGAAAGUCUAAUGCAAAUAAUGCAAUGCAAUGCAAAUGCAUGGAAUGAAUGCAAAAGAAAGAGAGGCAUUGAUUUUGAAUUCAAUUUCAUUAGAACAACUUUUCUAGAAAACAAAUUUCUUUACAUAAAAUGGAUUACAUAUGCCUUGUCCUAAUGCUCAAAGUGAAGACAUCGAUCCCUUUCUUCGUAUCCAGAUGUCAAGAUCAAAUCUCACGAACUUUUCAAGGGGGUGCUUUCUCUAUCUCCUUUUUGCUUGAUCCGGGCCGCGACUCAUUGCUCACUUAUCCCCGCGGUGCUCGUUAGCUUCUUUGAGACAUGACGGCUCUCGAAUAUUCUUUGUUGGCUUGAACCCUUGUUCAAUGAAGACAAGUCAUGUAUUCCCCCACGGACUAUCAACCUUCUCUUGUUGUUUACUCGGACCAUAUUUAGACAGCCAUAUUAUAAUCCACUUUAUUAAGAAAUCUAUUUUCCCAUGACAAGCUUUUCUAUUUAGCAAUCGAAUAUGAAUUAACACCUCCUUUCUAUGAUGAUGUAAUGCAAUGCAAUCAAAAUAAAAGAAAACAUGUUAGCACAAGAGAAAUAAACAAAAGAAAGUACCUAUCCGGGUGACCACUAGGGGUUCAGAGUGGCUCUACCUAGGGUGGGCUCUUAAGGCUCGCUAUAUGGGGUUCCGUUCUAGAGUAAAGGUACCUGAACCAGCAGAUUCCUCGAUCUUCACCCAUUAUAGGCUUAUACAGAUUGAGUUCAGUUCAGGGGAAUAUAUUUCCCUAUGGCUGCACAAAGAUGAAAAUCUCACGAAGACAUAGGUAUAGAUGUAUCCCGAAAGCGAUCUACUAUCCUGCAUGGAGGUGAAGACCUCACGAAGGAAUAGUUUCUCACUCCCACUUAAAAGGGUGUGAUCGCGCGGUCAUGCAAUGCAAUGUGCAGGGAUAUACAAAAAGGCUCGAAGCAAUAAAGAAAAUAGGAUUAAAAUAAUGAAAAAUGUAAGAAAAACGGAUGAAAUGCAAUAAAGGGAUCAUAAGUUUAAAACGAAUUUUCAAUUUUCGACAAAGGACAAAAAUCAAUCAAUUUAUGGCUCGACUCUCAAGGUCCCCAGUGGAGUCGCCAAGCUGUCGAAACCAUUUUUUUUGAAAAACGGGGUCGACUUGAUUUGGACAUGAAAACGAAAAAACGGGAGUAGCCACCAAUCCUUUUUUAAUGAGGUGUGAUCGGGUCACCUCGUAAAAGCGGUUGUUUUUAAUAAAUAAUUUGAUUUAUUUAAACAACAAUUUUGGUCCGCGAGAUUCAGAAAAAUGGGUUCAGGAGUCGGUUACGUACGAGGAAGGAUUAGCACCCUCGUAACGCCCAAAAAUUGGUACCUAGUUGAUUAAUUGGUGUCUUAGUGUCGAAAGUUAAAAACUUGAAAGACUUCAAAAUACGAUCCCUCUUUUUGUAGAAGACUCGAACGUUAAAGGCCUUCUCAUCUCUAAGUAAUAGAACGUCACAUCCAGUAAGUUUAGACACAACAUCUUGAACUUCUGAGAAUGAGUCUGUCUUUUACUUAAUAUUCUUGUAUAUUUGUCCCCCCCUUUUUUUAAAGGAUAUUCGAUUAUUUAGGGUAAACGAGAAAAAUCGAAACCUAGUAAGUUAGGGCACGAUCUCUCGAACUUUCAAAUAUCGAACAUUGCCUUUAUUUACCAAAAUCUUAUCUCGAGGUAAUAGGAUGUCAUACCCGGUAAGUUGGGGCACAACACUUCGUAUCUCCGAGAGUAAGCAUUUUUAUUCAAAAACCCGUAUUGCAGUUUAAAGGAAUAUCCUGUUAUUUAGGUUAAAUGAGAAAAAUCGAAACCUAGUAAAUUAGGGCACGAUUUUCUCGAAUUUUCAAGUACGAAAUAUUGCCUUUAUGAAAGAAUUAAUAUUGGGUUGGAUGAAACGUAAAUUCGUAAUGAAACGAGAUAAUAAAGAAUGCAUAACUAUUAAAAAUUUCGGUAUUGACGGGCAUAAUGAAAUAAACAUAAAUACGAAUGUGAACGAUAAUGAUGAUAAGAGCAAAAAUAAAAUAAAUGAUCAAAACGAAUAAAAAAGAAAUAAUUAAUAAGCUAAGAAAUAUUCGAAAUUAAAAGGAACUAGUAGUAAAUAAACAUUAUGUAAAACUAAAAAAAUGAUAGUAUAGUAAUGAUAAUAAUAAUAUUAAUAGUAAUAAUACAAGUAAUAAGUAUUUUAAAGUUUGGAAUGAUAUAUGAAAAUGUAUAUAUGCAUGUGUAUAUAUAAAUAAAUAACGUGUAAUGUGAGUGGGGAAUAAAAAUGAAUGAGAGUAUCUAAAGAAUAGUAGGUAAAAAUAUAAUAAUGAUAAUAUGUUAGUAAUAAUAUAAUAUAGUAAUAGUAGUAGUAACAGUAAUAAAAAUAAUAGUAAUAAAAGUAGUACUAAUAGUAAUAAUAAUAAUAAUAUAAUAAUAGUAAUAAUAAUAAUAAUAAUAAUAAUAAUAAUAAUAAUGACGCAAGAAGUCAAAGUAGAAAAUAAUAAGGGUAGUAAUCAUAUAUAUUAAUGGUAAAAUGAAGAUAUGUUAAUAAGGAUAAUAAUAAAUAAUAAAUAAUAAUAAUACUAAAUUAAUAAUAAAGUAAUAAGCAAAUAGACACAAAAGGGAAAAUGCAUAAUAAUAAUACGAAAUUAGUUUAAGACGAAGAUAAUAAUGAUAGUAAUAGAGAAUAACAAUACAUUAAUAAUAAUAUUUGUUAAUGACAAUAAUAGUAAUAUGUAAAAAAGGGAAUAAUGAUGGUAUAGUAAAAAUAGUAAUAAUGUAUUAAUAAGAAUGAUAAUAAUAAAAUGAGAUUAUAAUAAUAAUAUUAAUAAAAAUAAACAUAAAAGAAAUAGUAAUAAUAGUAAUAAUAAGACCGUAAUAAAAAGAAGAAAGAAAUAAUAACAUGUAAAUAGUAGUAAUAAUAGUAUAUGUUAAUAAUUACAAUAAUAGAAAAUAAUAAAAUAAAACUAUGUCGAUAAGGAUAAUAGAAAUAACAGUAAUAAAAACAAUAAUAAUAAAUAUAAUAAUAGAAAUAAUAAUGAAAAUAAUUAAUUUGAGAAUAAAACAGCAAACUAAUGAAAAAGGGACUAAAUUGGGCUUUAAAACGAAAGUUUGGGGCAAAUUCAAAAUAAAAAAGAAAGGGAUGGACCUAUUCGAACACGCAAAUAACAUGGAGGGACCAAAAGGGAAAUAAUCCCUUCCCUCCAAAACGCACAGCUCAAAGGGGGCUAAAUUAAAAACGAAAUAACUUAAAGUGCCAAAAUUAAAAUUUUAAAAAAACCUGGUUGCACAGUGAUGAAAAAGCGGAAGGGCCAAAAGGGCAAAUAGUCCUUCCGCUUAAAAACACGUGGAUCCUAGGCCGGACGGGUCGUGUCGAAUCGGGUCAGGGCAAAACGACGUCGUUUUGAGGGCCUACAAAAGUCAAUUUUUUAAACAAAAUUUUCAUUUUUCCCUUUCUUUAAAACAAAAACUAAAAAAGCUCUCCCCCCACUCUCUCAACACAUCCCCCUUCGGCGAGAGGCCCGGUCGCCGGACCGAUCAUCGUCCGCCAUGGGCCACCGUCAUCGGCCACCACGCAUGGUUGUUGAAAAUUAAAAAAGGUCAUUUUUUUUAUUUUUUUUACUAUAUUUAUAUAUAAAUAUAUAUAUACUGUUUUUUUGAAAAAAAUUAGGGAAAAAUUGAUGUGGUCGUUGAGAGCACCAAAAAUAUCAUAUUCCUUGUAAAAUAACGAAAAAUAAAUAGUAAAGGGGAAGUAGGGUCGAAUCCUCAGGGAUCGGAUUAUACGAAUGCUUGUUUCUCGAAAUCCUGGGCAGAAUCGUGCCUAAGAAAACCUGCGCUCCUGGAAAACAAUAAAAAAAACAGAAUUUAAGAAUUGAUUUUGGAAGCGAAAAAUAAAAUAAAAACAGAAUUUAAAGUUUACUGAAAUUAUGAUUACGAAAAUAAUAAAAAUAAUAAAGAGAGUUUUAAGAGAAAAGAAAUUCUUAUGGGAAAGUUCCAGCCUCCGGUUGUCUCAUUCCGCCUUGGGCUCAAUCAUUGGCUUUUGGAUGAUCCUUUUCGACUCAAGUAAGCCUGUUAUAGUGGAGGAGGACGCCUACGACCCCCAGCUCCAAAGAUUAGACUUACAAUUUUUAGGGAACCUGACUCUAGCCAGUAAUCUAUGCUAGAUCAACGCUUUUCAAUGGCGAAUCCCACGCCAUUUUGUCUCUUUGGCUCGCCGACCUCUGACGCAGUAAGUUAACGAACCGACUGUGCAAUCCUUCCAAAACAUACAAAGCGGCCGCAUUUGCAUAUGCUGAAAAGCUUACUUCUUAAGGGCCAUGGACGGAAGCAUCAGCCCGUAGUGCGGAGAAACGGUGAAUACUUGGCGAGAAGGCUAAGUACGGAUUCUAGGCCUCAAGAACCCUUUUUGGGGAAAUAUUGACAACUUUUGGCUAGAAGGGUUUUUAGUGGUUCAUGAUAAUGAUGGAGAAGAAAAUAAAUAUAAAAAUGGAAAAGGGAAUUUUAUUGAAAGAAAAUAUGAAGAAACAAAAGCCUAGACUUUCAGGGGGAGCGUGUUUACAGAAAAAGAUGCCCCCAAAUAGAGUCACUUCACCCCCUAUUUAUAGUGCUAGGGAGAUAGUCUAAUUGAACUUAAAUUCUAAAAAAAUAAAUACAUUUAAUUAAAGAUAAACAAAGAUAAUUAAAAUAAAAUCCUAAAUUUGAAUAAUCCUAAUAAUUAUCUUAAUAUUAAUUAUUCUAAUAGAAUAAAAUAAAAUAGAGUCUUCCAAAAUAAAAUCUCUUAUAUUUGCUUUUAGACAAAGCUAUUUUUUUUCUAUCAACUCUUCAGCAAAUUGAACCUGUUGCUGGGCAAGCUGCUGCACUUGUUCUAUGUCACACUAGAGAAUUAGCAUACCAGGUGGGUUUUAGAGUCUUGAAUUUAUUCUUUGAUAUUAGCAUGCCAGUUGAGGGUGUUUCAGUACCAUUUCAUCACUGAAUUCAUUCUUACCAAGUAUUACUUCCUCUAUCCUUUGACAGAGUUUCCGAGUAGUACAACUGCUGAGUCAUGUUUUGGUGCUGCAAUCAAGGUAAGUCAUUACAAGGUUAUACCUUCAUAAUCUGUUUGAGGUGUUGAGUGUAUGUAACUUGGUUACUUGAAGAAAACUGAGGUUAAGAUACCGAUACAUCAAUCCUUAUCUUAAACAAUUUGUAUGUAGUUUUCAUAUGUAGUUUAUUUGAGUGUUGGAGUUUUUGGAUUGCUUUCUCAAAAUUUUUAUUGACUAGAAGUUUUCUAGGAAAAUUUGACAUGGUCCUGAAAUUCAAUUUAUAAUUUGUUGCUACAUAAUUUGUUGCUAAUAUUCUUUUAUUUUUAGCUGAAUUAACUGACCAAAUUCGGUUGUUUGGUUAACCAUAAAAAAUUCAGUUUGGUUAACAGAAGAGAUUUUAAGAAAAUUUGAUAUUUGAAUGUUAUUUUGGUUAUUAGUUAGGAUUAGUCCUGUUAAGUUUUAUACCUUCAUUUAUUUGUUUUGAACUUUUAGUAUGUGUUAAUUUAACAUCUGAUGGUGAUUAAUAUCUUCAUUGUAUGGUGCUUCUAGAUUUUGAUUUGUUUUGAUAUUUUGGUUGUAUAUGUAGAAUUAUCCAUUGAAAAAAUGUUGAAGGUUAAUUUUGUUUCGUUAAAAAAAGAAAAAAGAAAAAAAACCAAAUUAACCGAAAUAUUAAGCUGUUCUCUCUUUUCCUACAAUUUUGUAGUUAACGGAUUUGGGUUUCACGUUACAUUAUUUUGUAUGUUGUAGGUACAUAUUAUGCACAGCCUUUUCAAUGACUUCUGCAUUAACAGACUGGAGUAGUGUACAAAAAUCCUUUAGGCACUUUCAGACUAUUCAAAUCUAUAAUAAUUUUUCCCCUCUGUUUGUAGAUUCAUUGGCAUCUUGUCUUAAUGAGAGUGUAGUUUGUGAAGUUUAAACUUUGCAUUGUCCUCCAAGGUAUUAGAAUUCUUAGUUCAAAACUUAGCAAUUUGUCUUUUAUAAAAGACCUUUGCAUUUUCAGUGUUGUUUAGGUUCGCAAACAAGAUGCUGUAUUUGGACUUGUUGUAUUUUAUUUAUAUUUUUAUUUUUAUUUUUAUUUUUAUUUAAUAAUGAAUUUUAAUAGGAAAUUUUUAUAUUUAUAUUAUGGACAUUAUUCUUCUCAAUAUUUUGAUAAUGAAUUUUAAUUUUUUUAUAUUUUUCAUGACUUUAUAAUAUUUUUAUAAUAUUUUAUUUUUUAAAAAAUUUUAUGACCUUUAGCGGCGGCGUUUUUGGGAAAAGCGCCGCUAAAGGCCAUGGUCUUUAGCGGCGUUUGUGGAAAAAGCGCCGCUAAAAGUCAUGGCCUUUAGCGGCGCUUUUUCCAUAAACGCCGCUAAAAGUCUUGACCUUUAGCGGCGUUUGUGAAUAAAGCGCCGCUAAAGAUCAUGACCUUUAGCGGCGUUUGUGGGGAAAGCGCCGCUAAAGAUCAUGACAUUUAGCUUCGUUUUUUUAAAUAAACGCCGCAAAAUUUAGCGGUGUGAUCUAUAAUGGCGUUUUUUGCGGCGCUUGUAAAACCGCCGCUAAAGGCCUAAAAAAAUGCCGCUAAAAAUCAAAUUUGUUGUAGUGCCGAAGUGCAACUUUAUUAGUACUUAUUUUUUUCUUUUUUUUUUUAAUUUUAUUAUUAUUUAUUUACUUAGGAAUAUAUUAAACCUUUUGACGCGAAGAGAGAUGACAACCCAAGCACCCCACCCCGGUUACUCAGUCCAACAUACUCCUAAAAUUAUUUAUUUCCAGUUAGCGGAGUUUUACCCAACACGUCACACAACCUUUUGACGCGAAGUAGAAUGACAACCCAAGCACCCUACCCCGGUUACUCAGUCAGUCACGAUUUGAGCCAUACUCAUAACCUCGGCUAGCGAAGUUUUACUUGUCAUGUCACACAACCUUUUAACGCGAAGUAGAAUGACAACCCAAGCACCCUACCCUGGUUACUCAGUCAGUCACGAUCUAAGCUGUACUCAUAACCAUGGAAAACUUUUAUUAAAAAUUAAACGAUAUUUAAAAUUCUUGAGAACUCAAGAAAGAAAAAAUUUAAGUGCCAAAAAUAAGUUUCAAUAAUCACCUAAUAGCCAUGAACAUUAAUUAAGCACGCAAUCAUUUUAAGUGUUCACUUUAUAUUAAACUUGAUCAAUUUUACGAAAAGCAAGAUAGAAUUAACCCUAUUAAUCACAAUUAUUUUUAGCCUAAUAAAAAUAAAACAGUGGAGAUGGUAUCAAUUAUGGGAAAAAUCAUAAAUUCCUUAGAAGGUAAGAAUCAUGCUUGUAGGUCAAACAGUAGGCAAUUCCUGGUAAAAUCUUGGGCAUAAAAAGUGGCAGGAUAUUCUUAAAAUAAAUGGGCAGAAACGAGCACAAAACAGCAGCAACAACAAUAUGACAGCAAAAAUAGCAAAUAAUAACAGUAACAACGAAGAAUGCCUCCCCCCACUUAAAACACAUAGUCCUCGAUGUGAAAAUAAAAAGAAAACAAAUAGGUGGAGCAAAAAAAAGUUUAGAAAAACUCCCCAUGUAGUUACCGUCGGUUGGCGCACACGGUGGAGAAGAAUAUGGUGAAGCGGCAAGAGGUGGAGACAGGGUGGGUGACGUGUGCAACGACAGUUCAGCUUCGGGUUCUCACCAUGGUGGCUGAAAAAUCGGCAGUGGGUGGUGGAGGAGAAAGGAGUUGGCGGUUAUGGAGAAAUUUGGGAAAAAAAUUGUAAGGUUUGGGGGUUUUAUUUGUUGAAAAGGGGUGUUUGGCUGCAGGUUUUGGGGAUUCUAGGGCUGGAAUAAGACUGUUUGGCUGCAGAGAUAUAGCAUUCUGGGCUGGAAUAGAACUAUUUGGCAGCAGGGAUAUGGCAUUUUGGUGCACACUCUUUGUCUUUUUUUCUUCGUAUUUUCGCUCCAUUUCACCUAGAUGGAAGAAGAGAAAUUUAUUAAUAUUUAACUAAAAUAAAAUAAAAAUAAAAUAAAAUAAUAAAUAAUAAAAGAAAAGAAAGGAAAAUAAUAAAUAAAAAUAAAGAUUGGGUUGCCUCUCAACAAGCGCUUGUUUAAGUCGUUAGCUCGACGCCUUGAACGGUUUUAUGGUGGUUCUAACUGAAUUUUCUCGACCGUGUGGGCCUGGAAAUUCUCGUAAAAUUGCUUUAGCCAUUGACCAUUGACUGCAAACCGCUUUCCUGAUUCUUCACUCUCUAUUUCAACUGCGCCAUGCAUAAAUACUUCAGUCACAAUAAAUGGUCCUUGCCACCGAGAUCGAAGCUUACCUGGGAAUAGCUUUAAUACGGAGUUAUAAAGCAAAACUCUUUGCCCUACUAAGAAAUGCUUCUGAACUAUAUUUUUUUCAUGAAACAUCUUUGUUUUGUCCUUAUAAAUUCGAGCAUUCUCGUAGGCAUCAUUGCGAAUUUCCUCCAAUUCUUGAAUGUCCAAUUUCCUUGCCUUCCCCGCGGGCUUUAACUCCAUGUUACAUUGUCGAAUAGCCCAAUAAGCUUUAUACUCCAACUCUACUGGUAGAUGAUAUGCUUUGCCAAAAACAAGUUGAUACGGGGUCAUGCCAAUUGGUCCCUUAUACGCCGUCCGAUAGGCCCAAAGUGCGUCAUUAAGCCGAAGACUCCAAUCCUUACAAUUGGGUCGAACCAUUUUUUCCAAAAUUGACUUGAUCUCCCUGUUUGAAACCUCUGCUAGGCCAUUCGUUUGGGGAUGGUAGGCUGUUGCUAUACGAUGAUGAAUCCCAUAUUUUGAUAAUAGUGCCUACAUGACUUUGUUGCAAAAGUGGGUACCACGAUCACUGAUCAAAGCUUGAGGUGUUCCAAACCUAGAAAAAAUAGUUCGUUUCAAAAACUCCACAACAGUUUUAGCAUUAUCAUUGCGAGUAGGCUUUGCUUCUAUCCACUUAGAAACAUAGUCUACUGCAAGAAGUAUAUAUAUGUUUCCAAACGAAGAAAUAAAUGAGCCCAUGAAAUUAAGGCCCCAUACAUCAAAAAUCUCACAUACAUGAAUCGGGGAUAGGGGCAUUUGAUUUCGUCUAGUGAUAUUACCUGUAUGCUGACAUUUAUCGCAAGACUUACAAAAGCUAAACGCGUCGCGAAAGAUUGUAGGCCAAUAUAGCCCACACUCCAAUACCUUGUGAGCUGUCCGCUUAGGGCCAAAGUGACCUCCACAAGCUUCUGUGUGACAAAAAGUAAGGAUAGAGGUUACCUCGGUUUCUGGAACACAUCGUCGUAUUAUCUGAUCUGAGCAAUGUUUCCACAAGUAUGGAUCGUCUCAUAUGUAAUUUCGAGCUUCGCGUCUAAGCUUGUUUUUUACGGAUUGAGCUAACUCAGUGGGCAGUGAUCCCGUGGUUAAGAGAUUAACUAUGUCUGCAUACCACGAAUAGUAAGUCUCGGUUGAGAAUAAGCUUUCGUCGGGGAACUCAUCCUUUAUGGGAUCAUCAUCAAACAGAGUUUUUAUUCUACUCAAGUGGUCGGCCACUAGGUUUUCACACCCUUUUUUGUCACGAAUCUCGAUGUCAAAUUCUUGGAGCAGCAAAAUCCACCUAAUGAGCCUUGGCUUUUCUUCCUUCUUUGCGAUCAAGUACCUAAGAGCUGCAUGGUUAGAAAAAAUAAUCACCUUAGAUCCCAGUAAAUAUGAUCGAAAUUUAUCUAAAGCAAACACAAUAGCUAAAAGUUCUUUUUCUGUGGUUGUGUAGUUGUUUUGUGCAGCAUCUAGGGUCUUUGAGGCGCAACAGAUGACAUGAGGCUCUUUCGCUAUCUUUUGUCCCAAUACGACUCCGACGCUGCGUUUGCUUGCAUCGCACAUAAUUUCAAAGGGAUAGUUUCAGUCUGGUGCUUGUACUAUAGGGGCGGUUACCAACUUUUGCUUAAGUGUAUCAAAAGCCUCCUUGCAUUUUGGGUCAAACUCAAAUUUUUUUCUUUCUGCAACAGUCGCACAAUAGUUCAGCUAUUUUUGAGAAGUUUUUUAUAAAACGCUUGUAAAAUCCUGCAUGGCCAAGAAAAGAACGUAUCUCUCUAACAGUAGAGGGAUAUGACAAAGAAUUUAUAAUGUCAAUUUUGGCCUUAUCAACCUCAAUUCCCUUAGAUGAGACUAUAUGACCUAGAAUCAAACCUUUGUCUACCAUAAAAUGACACUUUCCAUAGUUCAAGACAAGAUUAAAUUCUAUGCACCUGUUCAAAAUUAUCGUAAGGUUUUCAAGGCAUUCAGUAAAACAGUUUCCAUACACGGUAAAAUAAUCCAUAAAAACUUCAAUAAUUUUUUCUACAUAUUCAGAAAAUAUACUCAUCAUGCAUCUAUGGAAGGUAGCUGGUGCAUUAUAAAGUCCAAAUGGCAUCCUCCUGUAUGCAAACGUGCCGAACGGACAUGUAAAAAUGGUCUUUUCCUGGUCUUUUGGCGCAACAGGGAUCUGAAAGAAACCUGAAUAUCCAUUAAGACAACAAAAGUGAGUUUUACAAGCUAAACGUUCAAGCAUUUGAUCUAUAAAAGGAAGAGGGAAAUGAUCUUUUCUAGUAUAAGCGUUCAACUUCCUGUAAUCGAUGCAGACACGCCACCCGUUCUGCACUCAGACCGGUACUAAGUCACCAUCAGUAUUUUUCUUUACUGUCACGCCCGUUUUCUUAGGCACGACUUGUACCGGACUUACCCAUCUGCUGUCAAAAAUGGGGAAAAUGAUGUCAGCAUCCAGCAACUUAAUUAUUUCUUUUUUCACCACCUCCAUUAUAUUCGGGUUUAAGCAUCUUUGUGCCUCUCUCCUUGGUUUCGUGUUCUCUUCCAAGUAAAUCUUGUGGGUGCAUGUCAAAGGGCUUAUCCCCUUUAAGUCAGCAAUGGUCCAGCCAAUCGCCUCUUUAUGACUCUUUAGUACCUGGAUCAAACUUUCUUCCUCGGGUUUAGAGAGUUUAUUUGAAAUUAUAAUGGGUAAGGUAUUACCUUUUUCUAAAAAUGCAUACUUGAGAUGCGCGGGAAGCGGUUUCAAUUCCAAAUCUGGAGCCUACACAACAGAAGGUAGAAGUUUAGUUUCUGAUGGGGACAAUAAUUUCUUAACAAAUUCAUAAUCAUCAUAUCUAUAUUCAGAUUCAUCUUCAUAAGUUGCCUCAAAAGUCUCGUCCACUAAUGAGUCAAUCAGGUCGACGCGGUUUACGCUCAAGAUUUCGCUUGGAUGGCUAAUGGCAUCGUAAACAUUGAAUUUCACGAUCUCCCCAUCAAAUUCCAUCGUAAGAGUGCCGCUUCAGACAUCGAUCUUGGUGCUAGCAGUACUAAAGAAGGGUCGGCUCAACAGGAGGUCUGAAGAUCCAGCAGUGUUGUCCUCCUUCAUCUUAAUUACGUAGAAAUCUGUAGGGAAAAUAAGUUCAUUAACUUUUACCAAGACGUCCUCGAGGACUCCUUCAGGAUACACAAUAGACCUGUCUACCAAUUGAAUAAUAACACCUGUCUUUGUCAAAAAACCCGCAUUAAGUGAUUCAUAAAUAGAAUAAGGCAUUACAUUUAUAGAGGCCCCUAAAUCGUACAUAGCCUUUUUAAUUCCUAAAUGGCCAAUUUUGCAUGGAAUAGCGAACAUACCCCUAUCUUUGUAUUUAACCGGCAUUUUUCGCUGUAGAACUGCGGAAACAUUCUCACUAACACUUACCUUUUCAUUACCUGUUAGUUUUCGUUUGUUGGUGCAAAGUUCUUUGAGGAACUUGGCAUACCGCGGAAUCUGUCUAAUGGCAUCUAACAGUGAUAAGUUGAUCUCAACAUUCCUGAAUGUUUCGAGGAUCUCCUUGUCUUCCUUACUUUUUCGACACUGAUUUAAUCGUCCUGGGAAUGGAGGUUGGAUUUUCGGCAGUGGGGGUUUUUCUCGAAUCAGUGCGUCAUUUUCUGGAGUUUCCUAGGCAAUUUCUUGACUAAGAUUCUUGCCAGGAACUGGUUCUAGGACCUUUCCGCUUCGUAACGUUACUGCAUUCACAUUCUGUCUCGGGUUUGGUUCUGUUUGUGAUGGCAGUUUCCCUUGAGAGUUUAAUUUCUCAAUUAACGUGGUCAACUCCUUUAUGGAUGCUUCGAUUUUCUACUGAAAACCCUUCAUUUCUCUUUGGAAAUUGAGAGUUUGCUGUUGAAAAUCAAGGACAUUAGUUGCUAAUUUAUUGACCAAAAUUUCUAGAGAAUUACCUAAAUCUUGCGACUGUUGUGGGGCCGAAUUUUGGUAUGGCUGGUUAUAUCGUGGAUUAGCCCCAUAACUAAAAUUAGGGUGGUCCCUCCAUCCUAGGUUGUAGGUAUUCGCGUAAGGGUCGUAUCGUCUUUGUGGUGGCCCAAGAAAAUUUCCCACAUUAUCUAAAUGGGCCAUAGAAUCGUCAUACAGACUAGGGCACGCAUCAGUCGUAUGUUCAGGUGUAGCACAUAUUCUACAUACUCGGGCUAGUUUUGAUUUUUCUGUAACAAAGGAAUUCACAAUAUUAGUAAGUUUAUCAAGUCUAUCUUCAAUGGUAGAAUUACUUAGCUGGUGAACUCUUUUAGGGGGUUCAGGAUUGGCUCGAAAUUACUGGGAAUUCGCAGCCAUUGUGGAGAUUAAGUCUCUUGCUUGUUGUGGAGUCAUGUUGACUAACGCUCCUCCACUCGCGGCAUCUACCAUAUUCAUCUCCAUGGGUUUCAAGCCUUCAUAAAAGUACUGGAGCAAAGACUGUUCUGUUAUACCAUGUUGUGGGCAACUUGCACACAACUUCUUAAAUCACUCCCAAUAGUUGUAUAGAGUCUCUGCGUCUUUUUGCCUUAUGCCCACGAUUUCUCUUCUUAACUCAGCUGCUCGUGAUGCAAGGAAAAACCUGUUAAGAAAUAAACGAGAUAGAUCAGCCCAAGUUGUAAUGGAUCCAGGAGGUAAAUAAAAUAACCAUUCCCUAGCUGAAUCUGCUAAGGAAAAAAGGGAAAGCGCGCAAUUUAAUUUGAUCCUCAGUUACCCCCUGAGGUUUCAUACUCAAACAAACCAUAUGGGAUUCUUUUAAAUGCUUGUGGGGGUUUUCAUUUUGUAACCCACGAAAAGUUGGCAGUAGCUGAAUCAAGCCUGACUUUAAUUCAAAAUCAGUAUCCAUAGUAGGAUACGCGAUGCAUAGUGGCGGUUGUUUUGUCGGCGCUUUGGCCAGUUGCCGAAUUGUCUGAGCCAUAGGUUGAGAUGCUAAAUUAGGGUUUUCGUCAACCCUAGCGUCAAGGACCUCUUCAGGUGAAUCGACUUCUUCUUCUUUACUUUCUAACGUUCGAGUACGGUUUUUGUUAACCUUAGACUCUACUUCGUCGUCGAUUCUAAUUUCUGGCGGUGGAUUACUUUGAGUUCCAACCACCCCUAACUGCUUUUUCCUUAGUUUUGUUUCCUUUCGAUUAGCUUUCACAGUCUUUUCAAUUUCUGAGUCGAACGCAAGAGUGCCUGGAGCAGAUCUGGUCAUAGAAAACAAAGAAAAACAAGAUUAGUAUGCUGUCGAUCCUCGGCAACGGCGCCAAAAUUUGAUGGGGUCGUUGAGAGCACCAAAAAUAUCCUAUUCCCUGUAAAAUAACGAAAAAGAAAUAGUAAAGGGGAAGUAGGGUCGAAUCCUCAGGGACCGGAUAAUACGAAUGCUUGUUUCUUGAAAUCCUGGGCAGAAUCGUGCCUAAGAAAACCUGCGUUCCUGGAAAAAAUAAAAAAAAAGAAUUUAAGAAUUGAUUUUGGAAGCGAAAAAUAAAAUAAAAACAGAAUUUAAAGUUUACUAAAAUUAUGAUUACGAAAAUAAUAAAAAUAAUAAAGAGAGUUUUAAGAGAAAAGAAAUUCUUAUGGGAAAGUUCCAGCCUCCGGUUGUCUCAUUCUGCCUUGGGCUCAAUCAUUGGCUUUUGGAUGAUCCUUCUCGACUCAAGUAAGCUAGUUAUAGUGGAAGAGGACACCUACGACCACCAGCUCCAAAGAUUAGACUUAUGAUUUUUAGAGAACCUGACUCUAGCCAGUAAUCUAUGUUAGAUCAACGCUUCUCAAUGGCGAAUCCCACGCCAUUUUGUCUCUUUGGCUCGCCAACCUCUGACGCAGUAAGUUAACGAACCGACUAUGCAAUCCUUCCAAAACAUACAAAGUGGCCGCCUUUGCAUAUGCUGAAAAGCUUACUUCUUAAGGGCCAUGGACGGAAGCAUCAGCCCGUAGUGCGGAGAAACGAUGAAUACUUGGCGAGAAGGCUAAGUACAGAUUCUAGGCCUCAAGAACCCUUUUUGGGGGAAAUAUUGACAACUUUUGGCUAGAAGGGUUUUUAGUGGUUCAUGACAAUGAUGGAGAAGAAAAUAAAUAUAAAAAUGGAAAAGGGAAUUUUAUUGAAAGAAAAUAUGAAGAAACAAAAGCCUAGACUUUCAGGGGGAGCGUGUUUACAGAAAACGAUGCCCCCAAGUAGAGUCACUUCACCCCCUAUUUAUAGUGCUAGGGAGAUAGUCUAAUUGAACUUAAAUUCUAAAAAAUAAAUACAUUUAAUUAAAGAUAAACAAAUAUAAUUAAAAUAAAAUCCUAAAUUUGAAUAAUCUUAAUAAUUAUCUUAAUAUUAAUUAUCCUAAUAGAAUAAAAUAAAAUAGAGUCUUCCAAAAUAAAAUCUCUUCUAUUUGCUUUUAAGUCCUUGUGCCUUCCAUGUUCGCACUUUUGGCACCAUAUUUGUCCCACGUUGCAUAUUGGCCAAUUUAAUCUCCAAAUUGACGCUUUUUCCCUUGAAUUUACUUUUCGCCUCCAAUUUAGUCCCUAAAAGAUAAAAAAACAUAAAUAGCUCAAAUUAGUAGGUUUAAGCUCAAAAUAAACACAUGAUUAAUAUAUAAAAACACGUCUUUUUAGACUAUUAUCAAAAAUAUAUGUAUGUGUAGUCGAAAACUGAAAAUAAAAAGGGAAAAGAGAUGGGACCUUGGCCGUUUGAAUCUGUUUUUUUUAAAUGCUUGCUGUAUUUUUUGUUUUGAGACUACUCUGUGCUAAAAAUGAAAUCUAUUGCUUGUAUUGCUUCCUCAAAAAAAAGAAAAUCCCCCUAUUACAUUGUUUCUUGAUGGCUUUUAUAGCCUUUUUACAUUAUUUUUUUAUUACUUCUUGUCAUUUCUUCUUGCAGGCGGUGGAGCAAGUGGAGGAGUAGGUGGCCGACUGGCAUGGGCGAUGGGACAGAGGGCAGAGGCGGCAGCAGCUUAAGGCUUUUUUAGUUUUUCUUUUUUUUUCUAAUUGUUGUGGGCUAGGGUAAAAACGGUUUUAGGCUGUUGGGUUUAAAGGAUAGUUAGGUUUUGGGCCGGGCAAAUUGGGCUUGUAACAGUAAUUAAUUUAAAAAUUCUGAGCAUAUAUAUGUUGAACACAAACUCGUAUUCUAUGCUUUUCCCAAAGUUGGAUAACAUUGUUUUAUAUAUAUACAUAACAUUCAAAAUAUUAUUAUUUUUAUAUAAUUAAAUUUUAUGAUCUCUGAUUGAAGAAAUGUAAUCGGCUAGAGAUAAAAUGUGAAGGAAGUUUUGAUUGUUCCAUGAAGAAGCAACUAUUAAAUAUGGUGUGAAUCCUUUGACAAUGUUUAGAGGUUAUAAUCAUCCUUUUAUUUUGUUAUUAGACUAAUUUCGUCAAGUAAAAUUGUCCUUUAAUUCAUUUUUGUUCAAAAUUGUUAGAGACCAAGUUAUGUAUUAAAUGUGAUAUGUGUCUUAAAUUUGCUUUUAUAUAUUCAAAGAUUAAUCAUAUACCUAUAUAGCAAAUAUUAAAUAAGAAUAAUAUAGGCAAAAUAUUAAUUUAGUCCUUAACAUUUACAUUUUUUAUCACUUUACCUUUUAUUCUUUGUUUGAGCUAAAUUUGAUUUUUAAUUUUUUUUAAAAAAAAAUCAAAUUUGAACAUCAAGUUUUUUUAAAAAUAAAAGUCGACAUGAUAUUUUUUUUAACAAGAAUACUUAUGAUAAAUGCCAAAAGUAACAUGUUCUAAUCUCAUUCUUAUUGCGUUUUUGGAUAAUUAAUCGAUACAAAAUGGUGAAUUUUAUACCCCUAAUCAUUUAAGUUCAUGUUUUUAUAUUUAGGAGAGCAUUUGAAAGCAAAACGAGCGAAAAUCAAACAAUUGGAGUAGAUUUUAGGAGCCAUACGGGCAUAUGCCAGACUGUGUCGAUUUUACGAACUACACCUCGAAAAUGCUACAAAACGUAAUUUUUAGAUUUUUUGAGCAUUCUAGGGCUUAUAAAUAUCAAAUAUAAGAAGAUGAGAGAAGACUAUCAUAGAAGAUUGAAGAAAGCAACUCGGAUUGAAGCCGACUCUGAAGUAGAUUUCCAUCAAGAUUGAAGAUCUCCUUUUGAUUUCUUUGAAGUUUAUUAUGAGUUUAUUUAUUUCUUGUGGUUAUACUGUCUUUGAAAUGUUUUUAUUUGCGAUUAUGAACUAAUUUUCUAAAUACAUAGGGGAGAUGAAUCCUAUGAUGAAUUUUAUUUUUUUAUUUCUAUUUUAUGCAAUUAAUAAAUACUUGGAAUCUUUUUCUUAAUUAUGUUUCCUUAAUUUUUUGUUUAAUAUUUUUAGAUUAUUUAUCCAUCUGUGAUGUUCUUAAAUCAAAGGAGGAAUAUACUCUAUUUAAGAAUAAAUCUAGCAUAAUUUAGUGGAGUUGCACACAAUCCUAGAAAUAAGAUGACAUAAAUUUAUCGGAUUAUAGUCAAAUCUAAUAGGGAGAUCCAUAGAUCAAGUUAAUGCGAUAAUAAGAGUUUUAAUUAGAAAGAAAUUUCAAUUAAUCAAUCUAGAGUCAAUUUCUAUUAUUCUCAAAAGAGAUAUUAGUAUAAUUUAGGGAUUUCUGUAGAUCAAGAUACUAAGUGAAUAAAUUGUUUAAUUCAAAUUGAUAAUGACAGAUGAAAUCUAGGUGGACUCUUUCCUAGGUAUUGUUUCACUUCUUGGUGGUUAAUCGUUUGUUUUCUUAAUUCAUUCUUUGUCGUGUUAUUUAGUUAAUUAAUUUAGUUAUUUUUAGUUUCAAUUAAUCACUCCAAUUUGUCAAUUAAAUAAUAGAAAUACAGUAAUUAUUAGUACUUUUAGUUCUCGUGAAAAUGAUAUCUUUGCUCACCGUAACUAUACUAUUAAUUGAUAGCUGCACUUACCUUUAUAUUUUUAGUUGGUUUUGAGGACAUCAGCUAACUAAAAUAUUAAAAUUUUCAACAUGAUAACAUGCAUGUAAUUCACAUAUACCCCUUGCUAAAAAAUUUUAAUUCUUAUGAAAUUUUUAUAUUUUUUUAAUUUUAAUUUUAAUUUUGAUUUCUUAUUUUUAUAAUUUCUAAUUUAUUUAUUGAUGUGACAUAUAAGACAAAUCAUGUUAUGUUAGCAUGAUAUGCUCAUGAAUUGACAUGCAAAUUGUUUAAAAAAUAAUAUUUUAACCAUUAUUCCGUUAAAAAAAAACAAUUCCCUUUUUUUUCAAAAGUUAGAAGGUUAAAUUUAGAGGAAAAUAAUAAAAAUCAAAUUACCAGAAAAUAUAAAUGUAAAAAGUUACGUUUAUCAUUAUGCUAAGGCGUUGUAGAUAGAAUAAGAAUAAUAUAUAACAAAUAUUCAAUACCAUCCCAUUGCUCAAAAACUUAAAACUUCUCAGAGAUUGAUGGCAAAAUGGAAUGCCUGCUAGAGCUUUAUUUAGAUGGGACGGGCAUUCAACAACUUCCCUCUUCAAUUGAAAAUCUGAGCAAUCUUGUUUUGUUAAAUUUGAAAGAUUGCAGGAACCUUGUAAGUCUCCCAGGAAGUGUAGGUGGGUGUAAAAGUUUAAAAUAUCUUAAUCUUUCUGAUUUUUAUAAAGUUGGAUAUUUGCAGCAACUAGAGUUUUUGGAAGAGCUUGACUUAAGUGAAACAGCCAUACGAAAACUACCAUCCUUCAUUUCUCUGUUAAAAAAUCUUGAAGUUUUGUCAUUCAAUGGGCGCAAGGGAUCUUCAUCUAAGUUACUACAAAAUUUGCCUUCCCUUUCCAAGGUAAUUCAAAGAGGAAGGAUAAAUUCCAAGGCUCUGAUGUUGCCUUCGUUGUUUAGUUUGAGUUGAUUAACGAUGCUGAAACUAAGGUGUCGAAACCAUCUGUUUUUUUUAAAUUUUAAUUAAUUUAAUGAAAAACGGGGGAAUCGACUUUUUGAAAAAUGAAAAUGUGGAGUCGCCACCAAUCUUUUUGUUUAGGUGUGAUUGGAUCACCGAGAAUUUUGGUCAGUUUAGUAAAACAUUUUGGUUUACUAAAACAACGAUUUUGGUCUACGAAAUUUUGAAAAAAAGGGUUCGGGAGUCGGUUACAUAUGAGGAAGGAUUAGCACCCUCAUUACGCCCAAAAUUGGUACCAAAUCGAUUAAAUACUGUCAUUAUAUCUAAGAUUUAAAAAUGUUUUUUUGAAAUGUAAUUCCUUUUAUAAACGUUUGAAUAACCCGAGUUGGUCGUCAAAAUUCUCUUGUUUCAGAGAAAUAUAGCAUCACAUCCAGCAUGAUAGGACACGAUCCUUUAUACCCUUGAAAACACGAUAAAUUUCGAGUUCCAAAGUUUUAUAUGUUGAAAACCAAAGAAGGAUGCCCGAUUGUUUUGUCCAACGAGAAAACCGAAACCCAACACAGGAGGGCAUGGUUCCUCAAAUUUCUAAACAUCGAGCAUUGCCUCAUUUUUAGAAUUUUAAAAACAUGAGUGAAAUUCUAAAGGGAUAUUUGAUUAUUUUGAAUAAACGGGAAAUUGCAACCCAGCACGGUAGGGCACUAUUCCCCGAGUUGCCAAACAUCGAACAUUACCUUCGUUUUGAGGAGUUUUUAGAAAACAUGACCGAAAUUUCAAAGGAAUAUUCGAUUGUUUUGACAAAUGAGAAAUCACAACCCAGCACGAUAGGGCACGAUUCCCGAAUUGCCAAACAUCGAGUAUUGCCUUCAUUUUAAAGAAUUUUUAAAGACAUGAGUGAAAUUUCAAAGGAAUAUUCGAUUGUUUUAAACGAACGAGAAAUCACAACCCAGCACGGUAGGGCACGAUUCCUCGAAUUGUUAAACAUUGAACAUUGCUUUCGUUUUAAAAAAAAUUAAAUGAAUAAUUAUAAAACUAGCUUAAAACGCCUUAAUUUUACUUGAAAUAAGAUGGAAUAAUUAAUUAAAAGGUUGGGCCUUAUGAAACAACAUUUUGUGAACCAAAAAGAACAUGGGAAUGAAGAUAAUAUAACUCGAUGUUCAAGCAUUCAUGGAGAAUAAUUGACAUAAUACACAUGAAAUAAUAUAUAAAAAAAAACAAAUUAUCCAUGAGAUAUCAAACAACAUAAAAUUAAUAUGAUACAAAAAAAACUUCUAAGGAAUGUUGCAUUGAUGAGCAAACAACACAUGUUAGAAUUCAAGAUAAUUUGUAAAAUCUAAGAAUAUAUAAAUAAUUUUAAAAUAGAUGCUACAAAAUGAAGGCACUUGAAUCAAAUAAUGUGCAAAAUGAUUUGGGAAAAAUACAUUUAUUUACAAUCGACAAUAUGUACGAAUAAAGAUAAGUUCAUAUAACAAAUGGAAUAUAUAAAAAGGCAUGCAAAGGUAUACGACAACAUAUAAUUUUAGAAGAUAAGUUAUAUAUACAAUAGAUUUAAAAACAUAUAUAUAAGUAAUAAAAAAAACAACUAAAUGAAAAAAGAAAUUCGAUAUGCAUAUGGGAUCAAGCUAAUUUCACUAUGAAUAAUAUAUAUAUUCAUAUAGAUGUAAAACAUUUGAAUGAAAUAUCAUAUAGAAUGUUGAAAUGAUAUGCUAAAGAAUUUAAAGAUGAUUUUACAAAAACAAAAUAGACUUAUUAUAAUAGCUUAACACGUAUACACAUAUAUAAAAAUGUUAGAAACCUUAAAAUAAUAAACAUUACUAGUCCAAAAAACUCACUUAAAAUAAGACAUGUACAAAAAAAAAAUAUUUUAACAAAAUAUUAUAUUAGUUGUUAAAAUAACAUAAUAUAGAACUUUAAAAUAAAUAAAAAGGGGGGGUAAAAUUAUUAAAGUAAUUUCAACAACAAAAAAAAUAUUUAAUGAAUUCUUUUAAAAACAAUGCGUUAUAAGUAUAGAGGACUCAAUUAAAAAUAAAUCUAAAAUAAUGAGGUCAAUUUAUGAAUAAAAUAAAUUAUUGAAAUUGAAGCAAGGACCGAUGCGCAACACGUGCGAACGCUCAGGGUCCAAAACUGGAAAUACCCUAGGUCUCAAAACGUACCACUUGAGCAUGGACCAAAAUGAAAAUAUAUCCAAACUUUAGGAAGAAUCUAAAAACAAAUAAAACGGAAUCAGAAGCCAAUCAAGAGUGGGGGCAAAGGGGAGGGACUUAUGUUGAAAAUAUCCCCUCACCGCGAAAACGUGCGGAUCCCAGGGGCGACAAGCCGGAUCAGGUCAGGGCUCUUACCAAACGACAUCGUUUUUGAGCCACUGAAACAGGCUCAAAACGGCGUCGUAUUUGGCCCUUUAUAAGAGCAAAAACUGAAUCACCCAGCCAAACCUUAGCCCCUAUUUUGCUUCCCUCAAUCGAACCCUAGCCCCUCCUCUACAAUGUCAAUCCGCGGCAAUGAACGGACAUCGACCUAUUCGAGUCUCAAGGCGGUUUUCUUUCUGCCUUCAGCUCCCCUUGGACCCCGAUUUCAACGAAGCAGAGGCGAUCUCACGACAUACUUACCAAGUAAGGUUUCGUUUCCUUUUCCUUUUAUACACUCAAAACGCGAAAGAACAAGAGAGAAUCCAGGAAGAAAGAAACUGAGCAAAGAAGAAAAAGAAAAAUAUCAGAAAUUUGAAUCAGAAUCACCUUCAAAUACUCGUUGCUUUUUUGUAUUCUGUGUAUAAUUGUGCGUGUCUGUAUUGAGUGUUUCAUAACCGAUUACAGAGAUUAAAAUCAUGGCUUUAUAGCCGAAAAGAAAGAAAGAAAAAUCAAAUAAAAAAAUACAAUAUUUUUCUUUGUUUGUAUUUGCUGCUGUGUUUGCCUCAUUUGUUUGCAGGUACGGAGCAUGCGUUGGCGUAUGUACAGGAGCUGGGCUGGCGUACGGAGGAGCGGGCGUGGCUGCUGGAGGGUACGGAGGCUGUCGGGGCCGUUGCGGCUCAAGCAGAAGCUGCUAGGGUUUUUGCCUUGGUUCUUGUUUUAGGCAUUGGGCCUAUGGCCGUCCAGGUCUUGGGUUAGGGUUUUAUACUUAGGCUGGUUAGUUUGUAUUGAGUCUGGGACUAGGCUAUUGAAUUUGGGCUAUAUAAUUGGACAUAUAAUGGACUAUUGAUAUUUGAAUUUUUAUAUUAUUUAUUUUGUAUUUUAUCUUGGGUUUCUAAUGGGUCCGGGCAAAUUGGCCCACUUACAUAAGGGACUGCAAUCUUUGUGAAGGAGAUAUUCGUAGUGAUAUUUCUCGCCUCUCCUCUUUGAUACACCUUGAUCUUGGUGGUAAAAAUUUCAUCAGCAUACCUUCGUGUCUUGCUCAAAUUUCCAUGCUUGAAUUUCUUAGAUUGUCAUAUUGCGGG
rnacentral:lncRNA from 1 species